rnacentral:lncRNA from 1 species
AACCGAGAAUCGACGACCAUCUCAAAUGGUGGUGGUAUUUUCUCGCCUCGAGUACUUGAAGAUCAACAGCUGCAGGCAAUUGACGAACCCUCCGAGUCAUUUUCCAUGCCUUAAAGAAUUGCAGAUUUCGCACGUGGAUAGUGGAGUACCUCUGGCAAUUAUAUGCGGGCGACUAGUCUCGCUUACGGCACUCGAUAUUGAAGGAAUCGAGGGAUUGACGUGUCUCCUCGAUUGGUUGUUCCGUAACAAUCUAAAUCUCUCGCAGGUGUAUGUGGGCUCCCAACUUAACGCAUCUCUAAACAGAGAGCCGUCGUGGGCGCCACUUUAAUCGGAGAACAACAGAACUGUUUUGUGUGCUGUGUUUGUAGUCUUAGAGAGAAAAGAGAGAAAACAAUGGAAGAACUUUUUUAUUCAAAAUAACGUGAGCACAAGUCUUAUUAUCACAGUUACUGGCAAUGAGCAAAGUACAUCUCUAUUUAAAGAGUAAGAGUUGUAUGUUAAGUUAAAUAGGGUAACUCCAAAGUAUCGUAUCAUGGUGUAACUCUAAUACAAUAUUUGCAUGCAAUCUAAGUGUUUAUAUCAGGAGCCCGGAGAUGGCCAUGUCGACUAGUCAGGUGUUUUCUAUCCUUGAACUUCGUGCUAAUUACAUUGAGGGCGAUGUAAAUUUUAAGUGUGGGGGUGGAUAAUUACUUGAUUUUAUGUGCUUUAAAUUUUUGAUUUGCAUGCCUUAGGAUUUUUUUUUAUUUAGUUGUUUUGGUUUAGUUAUUGCUUUCGAUAUAAAAAAAAAUUGAGAUAAAUGCUUCGAUGAAUCAUGAUGAUGAAAGAUGGCUGAUGUUUAAUGAUGAAAUUGUUUGCUUUAUCUUGAUUUUGAUCGAAUUUUGGUGAGCUUUUGAUUCAAACUGUCGUAGGAAGGAGUCAUUGUUAGGAAUCUCAAAUUAUGCGUUGCUUUGGUUGAAAGUUUUGUGUUUUAAAAUUUGAGUUAAUUGAUGCUAUUCGGUUUUAGAACUUGCCUUAGGAAUUUACAAAGUGAAAUAUUAAAUUGUUGAGCAAUUUGGGAAGUGAUUUGGGCCAUCUUUGAACCGUUUGAGCCUUUCAAGCCUACCUUUAAUUUUUUAUCAUUCGAACCUUGAUUGAGCCUUGGAGAAACGGUGUUCUUUCUUUUAGCCGAAAUAAAGUGGGUAGAUUACAUGGUGAUUUCUUGAUAAAUUUUCCCUUGGAGCUUGGUUGAAAAAAAAAAUUGUUACGUUUUUCUUCUUCGUAAAAAAAAAAAAAAAAAAAAGAAGAAGAAGAAAUAUCGGGGAAGAAAGGACUUGAGAAAGAUUUUAAAGUAAAAACUUGAACCAUCAUGUUAAGAGCAAAAGUGGAGACUUUUGAACUCUUAGCAAAUCGAGUUAAGCAAUAAGUCCUUUGAGGUGAAGAAAUGAGUCCAAAAGCUAAAUCUUAGCAAAAACACAUCUAGUCAAGAACGAAAGUUAAAAAUUCCGUCAAGUGCAACUCUUAGUGACUAAUUGUGGGAUGAAAGGAGAAGAGUAGCCACUUUUACCCAUAUUUUCUACCUUGUACCAAAAGCCCAACAUUUGAAAGCCAAAAAGUCUCAAUGAUCCCAAUAGCUCAAUUAUUUGAUACUAGCCGAGUAGAGAAAUUUGGUGAGUCUUUGGAGUUGAAAUAUUAUUAUGUAAGUAUAAAUUUUCUCCAUUUUUAAUUUACAAAUAUGGGAUACUUGAAGCGAUAGCAUGGUUUGUGGUUUUUGGCAAGGGUGAGUGAAUACAUAUCUUUGAAUUACGAGCUUGUAAAUUUUUUAGAAUUGUCAUGAUAAUUGCAGGUUCUGAAAACAUGAAAGUUGACCAUUAAUCUAUGUGAUGAGAGGCAUUUGUUGAAACCGUUGCUUUGAAAGUUGCUAGUUUUUGCUUGAGGACAAGCAAAAGUUCAAGUUUGGGGGUGUGUUGAGUAUAUAUUUUACACUCAAUGUAUACUUUCUUACGAGGAUUUUUGUAUACUUUUAUUGAUUUAAUGGUGCUUAAUGAGUGGUUUAUUGUAUUUUAGGUACAACUUGACGAUUUGGGAGUUCCAAGGAUGAAACGAGCCAAAAAAGGUCAAAAAUGGGCAAAAAUGGAAGAAGACAAUCGGAUGCUGAAAAUUGGCCCGGCGCAGCCAUGCCAUAUUUAGCCUAUUUUUGGCGCGGCCGCGCCAACUGCAGAAUUUGGGCAGAAUGUUUCGGCGAUUCUCGCGCGGCGGUGUGAGAAUUGCACUGAUUCUCUCGCGGCCGUGUGAAAACACGUUGGAGACAAUUUUGGACUUUUAAUCACACAAGGAAACCUAAAAUCUUCUACCAAGGUGGGACAUCUAUUAAAGGACAAACCAAGCACGAAUAGGGGACUUUGGAACACAAUCUUAGAGGAGGACGAGCGAGAGAACGGAGAAACGAAGACGAAGACCUGACAAAUCUUCAUCAUAAUUCUUCUUUCACCUAUCUUUUCUAAAUCUAUGACUUUUUUUCACUUUUAUUAUGUUUUUCGUAGAGAACAUGAGUAGCUAAGUUUUUAAUCUAGGAUUUUGUUGGAACCCUAUUUGGGGAUGGUGAACCCGUUUUCUUGAGAUUAUGCAAUUAUGAUUCUAUGAUUAUUUUUUCUACUUGUUAUGAUUGUUAGUGCAUGAACUUGAUCAAUUUCUGUGCUUUAUCUGUGAUUAUUGGGAUUGACUCGACAGAGCUAUUUUGAUAAUUAGACGGUAAGUAAAAGAACCUUCGAGUAGUUUUCACCGUAUUAGUGUGUCAAUUGCAUUUGGUAUCGUAGACAUACAGAUAUUCACCUUAGGUAAUCAUUGUUGAGACUUAUGCUUUAAUGCUUUAUUCAUGAUCGGAUUGCAUAGACAUAAAGUAAUUUGGUUUUGGAUAAUAGAAUUACAAUACACGCAACAGCGGGUUAUAAUUAAUAUAGUGUCUCAGGUUAAUUAUCAUGAAUCAUAUAUUUCAUAAUUGAGGGGUUUUGGGUGAGCAAUUCUUGCAUAGGGGAAGAUAAAAUCCUAGGUCCGUUUUUAUUGAUAUUUUCUCGUGUUUAUUUGCUUUCAUAAUUAGUUUAAUUAUUUAGUUGAUUAAAUUUGACAACUUUGCGUAGGCUGGAUAAAAAUCAUAAUUGUUAGAAUUUGGUACUUAGGAUUAGAUAAUUUGAGUAUUCCCUGUGGGAUCGACAUCCGACUCUCACGAGUCCACUUUUACUACUUGUUUGCGAUACGUGCACUUGCGUGUUAGAAAAGAGAGAAAACAAUGGAAGAACUUUUUUAUUCUAAAUAACGUGAGCACAAGUCUUAUUAUCACAGUUACUGGGAAUGAGCAAAGUACAUCUCUAUUUAAAGAGUAAGAGUUGUAUGUUAAGUUAAAUAGGAUAGCUCCAAAGUAUCGUAUCAUGGUGUAACUCUAAUACAAUAUUUGCAUGCAAUCUAAGUGUUUAUAUCUAAUUAAACUACCACUUUGUGUUUAAAGUCAUUGUCGUAGAACUUCUUAUCUCUUGGGAUUUGCAUGGUUUGUGGGACUAUCCUUAUCUCUCCAAUUAUAUUAAAAAACUUCCUUAUCACUCCUUAGAGUCCCACAAACCAUGGUCUACGGAGGAGCUGUGCUAAUAGUCUUAGCUGAUGAAGCGCCAUUCGAACCGAACAAAUGGCAUAACGAUACGGCCGAAUGUUUGUGAUGAUGAAUUGAUGUUCGUUUUAUUGUCUUUAAUUUUUGCCUACUAAAUUUCUUGUUAUGUUUUUCGAAAAAGAUCCAACCUUCCUCUUCCAAAUCCCCAUAAUUCAAUCAGCACAAGGCCAAAAAAAUUAGGGGUGUGCGCGGGUCAUAAACCUGUGGGUUCCAGCAAAACCCACUCUCGUCACGUCAACCAACAGUUCUUGAUUUUAAGAACCAAACUUGUGGUUUUUCUUCAGAUUCGGGUCCAUGACGGGUUUAUAGUAGGACCCAAUCUUUCGAACCGGCCCAUGACCAUGUCUAAAACCCACUCCCCCAACCUAAAACCAAACACUGAAAUCGAACACCUUAAAUAAAAGCUAUGAAUAAAAAUAAAAGAGGAGAACUAUGAUGAAGAUUCGUCAAGUCUUCGUCUUCGUUGCUCCGUUCCUAAAUUGCGUGUAGAAAGAUAAAAGAUAAAAACUAAAGGUAAAAGAUUAAAGAUUUUUAAAGAUUCCAAGAUGUCUCUAAUUGUGUGCUUUUGGCCUUUAAAUAGGGUGCAAAAAUAUAAUAGGGCGGGUUUCCUUGUGUAAUUAAACUUCCUUCACUGCGCCACCUCGACCAUCCGGACGGCCGUUUGAGAUUUACGCCUGAAAUCCGCACGGCCGCGCGGUCUUCAAUUCUUCAGAAAUCUGAUUUUUUUCACUUUUGGCCCACUUUUUCUCCAAAUUUGCAGUUUUUACCCACACCCACAUUGGUGUGUGUAGAUCAACAGUAAAAAAUCACCCGGUGUAACCUUCACCGGGUGUAGCAUAGAAAUAACCACCUUCAGACAUAUCCAAAUCUACUCUGCUCGCGCCACCUGGCAAUUCAAAUCCGAAAUUUAAAACAACAUUCGCAAGAACAAGCUCCACAAUUCCCAUGGCGAACGCACCCCCAGGGCACCCCCUUCGCCCCGUUCAAACGGAAUUAACUCAAGCGUAACGUUCAAAACGCGUUAAGUUUAUGGGGCUAAAGUCAUUUAACCCUUUUAGUUUUGCAUUUUGUAGUUUCAAAAGGAUUAAUGAAUAUAAAAAAAUAAUUUGACAUUUGGCAUCCUAAAAAGAUACCAAUAAAAAUAUCAAAUUACCUUCAUUCUUUAAAAAAAUAUUCGGGGUGCAUUACGCAUGAUUCAUUGUGCUUCGAGGAUGCAAACUGCUAUUAAAAAUUUUUCGAGGGUACAAAGUGCAUAAAGGCUAUAUUUCAAUGGUGGAAAGUGUAAUUAAGCCAUAAUUUUAUUGGACCUCUCAAGAUUGAAUUCUUAAGUGUAUUAAUUUUUUUAUGUACUUUCAUCCCUUGAGCUAUUAAUUUCAAAUAUAUAUACAGAUAAACCAGGGUUUUAAAAUCGGUCGAGGUGACCGAUUAAUCGGUCUCCGAGGCGGAGGCGGUCUAUAACCUUUACGAUUUUAGUGUAAUGGUUUGAAAAUCGGUUUUUGACUGCGAGGUGGUUUUAGGCGGUCUAAGGCAGGUCAAAUUUUGGUGGUAAAAAAUCGGUCAAAAAUCGUUUUUUUUUUUAAUAAAUAAAAAAAGUUGGGCUUUUAAUAAAUAAUGAGUUUAUGAUUUGUUUUAUUUUGUUAAUGUUAAUUUUUAUUUUUAAAGGACCUAAUGAUAUAUGCUUGAAUGUUCAAUUAUAACUUUGGAUGCACAAGAUUUUCGUUUUGUUUUUAUUUUGUAAGAAUUUUUAUUAUAUUAUGAUCUUAUUAUUCUUAAAAUUUUAUUACGUGAUUAUGAUAUAUAAAUGAUGUGGAUAAAAUCAUGUUUAAAUAUAUUUUUUUAUCUAUUUUGAGUAUUUACAAAAAAUAUCAAAAAUUAUAUUACAUUAAAUUUAAAAAACCGAUUGAUUGCGGAUUAAUUACCGCUGCACCUAUUAAUCGUGAGGCGGUGCCUCACUGACUCGGGUCCGAUCCCCGUCUCAUACAACCUUGAGAUAAACACCCAAAUUUUUGACUAUUUCACAAAUUUUGAUUUAAGAGGGGAGGCCUCUGUAAUUUCAAUAAGUAAGAGGGUGUUAUUCCAAUUUUAUAGUAUGAAAACAAUCUCAAUAGAAAAUGAUAGACUGAUUUUGUGUGUGUGUGUGUGUACUGUAUUCAUUCUAUCUCAAUUCUCAAUACUCAUCCAAAGUGUGUGAUAUUAAUUCGUUGCGGACAAUAUAUCAUCAACUUGAUAAUCAUACAGCUGUCACGAAAAUAAAUUCAGCAAAAAACAAACGAAAGAAAAUGAGAAUGACAUGUAAAUGAACAACAACCAUUUUUUAAAUUAACUGAGAUUAUUAAUUUAUUAAAUAUUAAUUGAAUUUCCAAUUUUGACAAAACUAUUAUGAUUGAUAGAGAAAAGUAAUUCCACGAAUCAUGUAAUGAAUAUUAAAUACAUGGAGAAAUUACUAUUUCUCCAUUUUUCUUUCAUUCAAUUUAAAAUUUAAAAAAAAAAAAAAAAAAAAAAAAAAAAACGAAUUUUUCUAUAUUACUAAUGGUAUGGUUAGUCAUUUACCAUGGUUGGCAACAAGACCAUGGUUGGAAACAAGGGAAGGAAAAAAGAAUUUCAGAAACUUCUCACCAUUUGCAAUGUGCUAAACAACUCUCUCUCUCUCUCUCUCUCUCUCUCUCUCUCUCUCUCUCUCUCUCUCUCUCUAAAAAAUAACUUUCUCAAAGAAAACAAUGGCGGCAGAAGCUGCGGGUGGAGCUGUCGUUCAAUUUGCACGUAAGUGCAUGCAUCGUACAAGUAAUAAAGUGGACAAUUAAGUCCGGAUAUCGAUCCCACAGAGAAUAUUUAAUUAUUUAAUCCUAUACGAUAAAUCCUAACAAUUAUUAUCAAGUUCACCCUACACUGUCGAAUUUGGAGAGAAUUAACUAAAUUAAACUAAAUUAAAUUAAGCAAAUUAAAAAGACAAUAGCAAAAAUAAUUUAAAAUGAAGAUUUAAUCAAAGUAAGCAGGCCUAGGAUUUUAUUCUUCCCCCUAUGUGAUUAUUACUCCCCCAAUUCCUUCAAUUAUGCAAGUAAUUAACCAGGAUUAUUAACCUGAGAUGCUAAAUUAAUCAUAACCCGCUUCCGCGUGUAUUAGGGGUGGCAAACGAGCCGAGCCGGCUCGCGAACUCGACGAGCCGGCUCGAAAAAAGCUCGAACUAGAGCUCGGGUUUUUCGAGCUCGAGCUCGAGCCCAAAAUUAGUUGUUCGGCAGCUCGCGAGCCGGCUCGCGAGCUGCCUUCUUUCUUUUUUUUUUUCUUUUUUUCUUUUUACACACACACACACAUAUAUAUAUAUAUAUAUAUAUAUAUAUAUAUAUAUAUAUAUAUAUAUAUAUAUAUUAUUCUUAUAUUAUUAUUAUUAUUAUUAUUAUUAUUAACUAAAUAGUAAAUAGUCUAUAAUAAUAAAUAUAUCUAGUAUUUAAAUAGAAACAAAUCUAUAUUACUUAAAUAAUUCAUAAUAAUAUAAAAUAUUAUAAUAAUAAUAAUAAUAAUAAUAAUAAUAAUAAUAAUAAUAAUAAUAAUAAUAAUAAAAAUAAUAAUAAUAAUAAUAAUAAUAAUAAUAAUACUCCUAAAAGGAAUAAUAAUAAUAUGGCAAUAAUAANNNNNNNNNNNNNNNNNNNNNNNNNNNNNNNNNNNNNNNNNNNNNNNNNNNNNNNNNNNNNNNNNNNNNNNNNNNNNNNNNNNNNNNNNNNNNNNNNNNNNNNNNNNUGAACAGCUACUAUAAAAAAUAAAAUGAUUUUAAUAAAAAAAUUAAAUAAUAAUAAAAAAAAUAUAAAAAAAAAAUUUAAAUAAGCUCGAGCUCGAGCCAAAAAAAAUUGGCUCGAUGAGCUCGAGCUCGGCAACAUGGACUCGAGCUCGAGCUCGAGCUGGCCAAAAGAGCCGAGCUCGGCUCGAGCUCGGGUCGUUCCCACCCCUAGCGUGUAUUACGAUUCUAAUACUCUAGAUUCAAUUACUGUAUUCCUACGCAAUUAAUUCUAAAACACAACAUUAAGCACAAAUCUCAAUAAUGGCUACCUAAGAGAUUAACUAUAUUCCUAUGUUAAUACCACAAAGGCUCUUCUACCACAGUUCUAAUUAUUAACCCGAUCUUCCGAUUCAUGCGAUUAACAAUAACAUAAAAGCACAUAAGGUGAUCAAAUUCAUACACUUAAUAAAACAAGUAGAAGAAACAAUCCGGAAUUAAAACUUGCAUAAAAUCAUAGAAAAUGAUUCAUAAAUCCCACAUAGGGUUCCAAAUAAAAUCCUAGAAAUAAGAAAAUUAGCUACUCAUGAUUAAAGUAAAAACGCAAAUAAAAUAAAUCAUAAACGAUAAAUCUUUGCUUGGAGUCUUCGAAUUCUUCGUCUUCGUUAUUGCUUUGUUGCUCUUGAAAUUGCGUAAAAGAUGGAUCCCCAAUUGUGUGCUUGGCUUGGUCUUAUAUAUGGUGGAAAACUUGGAGAAGAAGGCAGUUUCCUUGUGCAAUUAAAAUCCCUUUACCGCGCCUCUUCGUGAUCUCGGACGGCCGUCCCAAAUUUUGAACUAAAACUCGGACGACCGUCUGGGCUUUAAAUCUUCAGAUUUUUAACUUUUUCACUUUUGGCCCAUAUUUUCUCCAAAAUUGCAGUUUUUACCCCAUACUUUUCCAAUUCUUCAAUUUGUACCUAAAAUACAAUAAAUCAACUUUUUAAACACCAAUUAUCGUUAAAACACACCAAAAACUCCAAUUAAAAGGUACGUUUAAGUGUAAAAACAUACACUUAACAGAAGCUGAUAUAUCAGUUUCUGGGGAGCAGAUCAACCUCUAUCGAGAGUUCAAGAAAGACUUUGAUACAAACCCCGUAGAACUUGUUACGUGACCCAAUACCUUACGCGGAAGCAAGAUCCAAAACAUCCAAAAACAAAGAUUCAAAAGGGUGGAACCGCGACCCGUUGCCUAUAAAGAGACAAGAACCUUGGUAUGUGAAUACGGCACAAUCGAUUGUGAAAGAUCGAUUGAUAAGUCGGAGUGAACAAAUGGAAUCCUCCGAUGUGUUCAUAGAGUUCUUAAAGAACCAAAGAGAAUAAUCUCAUAAUUGUAUUCAAAAUUCUUCCAAUAAAAUGAGCCAAAUUGGCAACCUAUUUAUAAGGUCUAAAAACACACAUUUUUUACAAGGAAAAUGACUCCUACCUAAACUAUAAUAUGGAAAUAAAUAAAUAAGCAAAUCCUAACCAUAAAAGACUCUAAAAUAAUAAAAACAUGAGGUUUUUGUGCAUAAGUCCCCAACCAAACAUCUUUAUUAUUUUAGGUUUAGGGGCUAUAUCUCUUUCACCAAUAAGCCUAUCCCUUUAAUAUUUAUUAUAAAUAAAGGAAACAUUCUUGUAUAUGCCAAUAUUACCCCCAACCCUUUAUACCAAAUUCUUAAUUGUAACCCCAAUUUAAUCAAUUUUGUCCACAAAAAUCCAACUUUGACUUCUUUUUUUUCAAAAAAAAAAAGAUUUCAAAAAAAAAAAAUUUUGCCGCCGGUCUCCGGCGUUGACUUUUCGAUUUUUUUUUUCUUCCGGAUUUUUUCGCCGGUCUCCGGCGUUGACUUUUUUUUUUUUGUCUUCCAGAUUUUUUCGCCAGUUUCCGGCGUUGACAUUUUUUAGUGUUUUUUUAAGUUUUUUUUUUUUUUUUGCUUGUUUUUUUUUUACGUCCGCCACUAAACGUUGACCGUAAUUGUACUGUCACUGACAGUAAAUUAACGUAAUUAUACUGUCAAUGACAGUUAAUUAACGUAAUUGUACUGCCGUUGACAAUACAUUUAUGUAAUUGUUCUGCCGUUGACAGUAAAUUAACGUAAUAUUAUUAUUUUUUAUUUUUUGUUAUUCUUUUUAUUUUGUUUGAUUUGUUGACAAGUCAACGUAAUUAUAUUACUGUCGUUGACAGUAAAAUAACUGUAAACACAAUAAUAUUACUGUCAACAACAUCAUUAUUAUUAUUUUUAUGGGUUUUUUAUUUUGUUUGAGUUAUUCACGGAGUAACGUAAUAAUAUUACUGUCUAUUAUUGUAAUAUUACUGUAAACACAAUAAUAUUACUGUGGUUGACGGUAAUAUUACUGUUGUUAUAGUAAUAUUGCUGUCAACCACAUCAAUAUUAUUAUUUUGUUUGGAUCUUUUGGUUUGUUUGAGUUAUUCACGGAGUAACGUAAUAAUAUUACUGUCUAUUAUUGUAAUAUUACUGUUGUUAUAGUAAUAUUACUGUCACUCACAGUAAUAUUGAUUCUUUUGGCUUUUUAGUAUGUUCACAUUUGUUAAACGGUCAACAUAGUAAUAUUACACUUUACACAAUAAUAAUGAGUUUUGUUGUGUUAAUAUUACUGUGCUAGAGAUUAAUAUAGCAAUAUUACUGUGUUAAACUGUAGUUUAGUUAAUUUUACUGUGUUAAACUGUAGUUUAGUUAAUUUUACUGUGUUUAAACAGUAAUAUAGUUAAUAUUACUGUCAAUCACAGCAAUAUUGUUGUUUAAACGAAAAAAAAAAGUUACAGAAAAAAGAAAAAAAAAAUUGAAAAGUCAACGUCGGAAUCCGGCGGCAAAUUUUUUUUAAAAAAAAAAAAAAAAGUUUUGGGCCAAAAUUGAAUAAUUUGUGAAAUUUGGGGUCAAAUUGAGGUUAAAUUAAGUUAAGGAUAAAAUUGGAGCAUAUGAAAGUAUGAGGGGCUAUUUUUUAGUCUUUUACAAAAAUCUGGACCAUGUUUAUUGGUAAAGGAGUUUUUUGUCUAGAUCUCUUUACGAAUAAGUACCCAUUGAUGGGCUUAUUUGUAAUGACCCCUAAAAACAUAAUAAAACCUAAAUUAAAAACGUGUAUAAUUAAAUUAAAUAACUUGAUCUUCAAAUCGGCUUCUCGAUCACCCUUCUAAUCUCGCGUAGAUAAUUGGCUGUGCACGUGCAUGAACUUCAUGCUCACUUACGACACUGUUACGUUAGAGUAGGUAACCAACAAGCCAACUAAUGGUGGUGGUCUUUCCAUAUUUACUUGUAAACAAUCUAUUUUCGUUAUUAAUGAAAUUCUAUUUUUGGCAAGCUAUAUCUAUUGUCCCAUUUAUUAUGCAUAGAUAUAGACCUUAUAGUUAUUAUUAAAUUACUAUGAAUUGAUCUAGGAGAAUCAUGAGAUAAUUCAUUUAGUAAGAUAACUAUUAAACAAGUUCCUAGUCGAUGGGUUACGCCAAUAAUUAGAAUAGUGGCAUUUCCCGUUUGAGACUAGCACUUAAUGUAUGUGAGUUGAGUCUCAUCAGCUACAAUGUAGUGACAUUAGCAUACAUAAGUGGGUGCUCAUAGUCGAUGAGUUUACUGAACUCCCUCGUCCUAGCUAGAAUCUCUAAGUGGUUCCCAUUAAUCGAGUAGAGAUUCUAUGAUUAUAGUUAUACACCAUUAGUUCUUAGACCUAAUACAUCACUGCGACUUCAUUAGAGGACCAGUUGUGUUGUGACCUGUCCCUGAGUCUCCUCGAAGACCGCUCCAAGGGCUAACAUUCGCACAGUCCGAAAUCUAGUGGGAGUCUGUGCAUUGUAGUUAGGGAUUUGACCGCUUGCUUAAUUGCAUGGAUGUCCUAUGUGUUCUUCAAGUAUAUUGUCCAAGGAAUCUGCGGCCGAAGUAGAAAGUGUAGUGAUUAGAGAAAUGAGUUUCUCUAAGUCAAACACGAAUGGACUUUAUACCUUUAGAACGAUCCCAUAGUUAUCGAAUAAUAUUAGAGGUAUCGGUGAACCAAUGCCUCUAGUUCGAUCGGGAUAUAUGUUUAGUCAAAGGGAUCGUACUGUACGCUAACUAUAAGUUAAGGUUCUUGCAGGCACUUCAUUUGUAUCUAGGGAAUCAUGACACGUAGUUGCUAGGCGUCUAUCAUGAUUCAUUGAGCAUUAACUGAUAUGAUCGGCGAUGUAGAUUAAAAUAUGUUUUAAAAUCGGGACAUUUGGGACGAGUCCGUAAUUGAGUAAAGAGUUAUUCAAGUCACAAAUAGUUGUGGGCCCACGGCUAGCUUACACCUGAACCAUUGAUGGUCACACUUGUUGUGGAGAGGAAUCCUUAAUAAGGUGAACUAAGAUUAAUUUGUUAAUCUUAGAUAAAUUGAAAUUCAGUAUGAUUGAAUUAAAAUUCGUAAUAGUCGAUUAUGAAUUGAAGAAAAAGAGAAAGGCAAUGUUAUAGAUUUCAAGUGAACUUUCUAAAUUGGGAUUUUCCUAAUUUAGCGGGUACCACUGAAAUAGAGGUUUCCGGAAAUGAAAAUAUACGAUAUGCAAUAUGGUACUUGAAUUGACGAGAAAAUUAUUAUGUCACAAAAAUAUAAUUGUUAUAAUUUUCGGAAUAACCAUUUGAGAGAUAUUAGGAAUCUAAGAAAGCGUUCUAAAAGUAUUCUUAAUUGUAUGGGUCUCUCAUUCCUAGAUAAGGAUUGAGGUAUUUAAUUCUAAUUGGGAAUUAGAAUUAUACAUGGAGUAGGAUUUAUAAAUCGCUAUAUAUAGAGGUGGUGGGGUAGAGAUGACAACAAGACACAACUUUUCUCCACCCACAAAACACACGUCCUAUCUUAUGUGUCAAUCUUCUUUUUUCUUUUCCUUUAGCAAUUUCCUUUUUCUAUUUAAUUUAUGUUUAACUAUAUAAAUCGUAAACUUACUUAUAUUGUUUAUCAUAUACUGAGAAUAAUAAUUAGAGACAAAAAUAAAUUAAUAAUGGAUAUUCAUUGAAAUGAUUAUAUAUAAAGUUUAAAUGGAAACUAUAUUUUUGACAAGUAGUAGUACCUACAUUUGACACAUGUUUUAUGUAUCUUCUUUUAAUUUAUUUCAAAUAAUAAUAAUUUUAUUCAACUAACAGUAAACAAAUAAUCACUAAUUUCAUUAUGCGGCAAAAUUACUAGAUUUAAACGUUUAAUUUAUAAUUAUGUCAACAUUACUUAGGUAUGAGUAUUAGUAUUGGUAUCAGUAUCAGUAUCAGUAUCAGUAUCAGUAUCAGUAUCAGUAUCAAUAUUAAUAUUAGUAUUAGUAUUAGUAUUAGUAUUAGUAUUAGUAUUAGUAUUAGUAUUAGUAUUAGUAUUAGUAUUAGUAUUAGUAUUAGUAUUAGUAUUAGUAUUAGUAUUAGUAUUAAUAUUAGUAUUAGUAUUAGUAUUCGUAUUAGUAUUAGUAUUAGUAUCCAUAUCAAUAGCAAUAUUAGUAUUAGUAUUAGUAUUAAUAACAGUAUCACUAUCACUAUGAGUAUGAGUAUGAGUAUGAAUAUGAGUAUGAGUAUAGGUAUGAGUAUGAAUAUGAGUAUGGGUAUGAGUAUAAGUAUGGGUAUAAAUAUCAGUAUCAGUUUCCGUAUAAGUAUCAAUAUCAGUAUAAGUAUCAAUAUAAUAUCAGUAUCAAUAGCAUUAAUAGUAUCAAUAUCAAUAUCAUUAUCAGUGUUAGUAUUAGUAUCAGUAUUAGUAUCAGUAUUAGUAUUAGUAUUAGUAUUAGUAUUAGUAUUAGUAUUAGUAUUAGUAUUAGUAUUAGUAUUAGUAUUAGUAUUAGUAUUAGUAUUAGUAUUAGUAUUAGUAUUAGUAUUAGUAUUAGUAUUAGUAUUAGUAUUAGUAUUAGUAUUAGUAUUAGCAUUAGUAAUAACAGUAUCAGUAUUAGUAUUAGUAUUAGUAUUAUUAUUAGUAUUAGUAUUAGUAUUAAUAUCCAUAUUAAUAUUAGUAUUAGUAUUAGUAUUAGUUUUAGUAUUAGUAUUAGUAUUAGUAUUAGUAUUAGUAUUAGUAUUAGUAUUAGUAUUAGUAUUAGUAUUAGUAUUAGUAUUAGUAUUAGUAUUAGUAUUAGUAUUAGUAUUAGUAUUGGUAUUAGUAUUAGUGUUCGUAUUAGUAUUGGCGUAUUAGUUUAAACAUUAAAUAUUCGUAUUAUAAUUGGCGUAUUAUUACUAAUAGUUGUGUUGAUAUUAAUAUUAGUAUUAGACUAUUAGUAUUAAUCAUCAUAUUAAUAUUAGGAUUAGUAUUAAUAUUAGUAUUAUUAGUAUUAGUAUUAGUAUUAGUAUUAGUAUUAGUAUCAGUAUCAGUAUCAGUAUCAGUAUUAGUAUCAGUAUCAGUAUUAGUGUUACUAUCAGUAUCAUUAUCGGUAUUAGUAUCAUUAUCAAUAACAACACCAGUAUGAGUAUGAGUAUGAAUAUGAGUAUGAGUAUGAGUAUGAAUAUGAAUAUCAGUAUCAGUAUAUGUAUAAGUAUUGGUAUGAAUAUUAAUAUUGCUAUUACUAUUGGUAUUAGUAUUACUAUUAGUAUUAAUAAUAGUAUUACUAUGAGUAUUAGUAUCAGUAUCGGUAUCGGUAUCAGCAUCAAUAUGUGUAUCAGUAUGUGUAUUAAUAUUAGUUUCAAUAUCAAUAUCAGUAGUAGUAUCUAUAUCAAUAUCAUUAUUAUUAUCAUUAUUAGUAUUAACUAGCAUUUUUUCCCCGUGCGAUGCACGGGAUAUUAUUUCAAGAGUAAAAAAAAUCUAUGUAAUACAUAAUAAGAAAUAUAGUACACGAAGUAAAAUUUAAUAAUGUAGUACUAUUCAUAUUUUAUAUAAUACAAAAACUUGUUGGGGCUAAAUACCAACACGCAAGUGCACGUAUCGCAAACAAGUAGUAAAAGUGGACUCGUGAGAGUCGGAUGUCGAUCCCACGGGGAAUACUCAAACUAUCUAAUCCUAAGUACCAAAUUCUAACAACUAUGAUUUUUAUCCAGCCUACGCAAGUUUGUCAAAUUAAAUCAAUUAAACAAUUAAACUAAUUAAGAACGCAAAUAAUCACGAGAAAAUAUCAAUAUAAAAACGGACCUAGGAUUUCAUCUUCCCCCUAUGCAAGAAUUGCUCACCCAAAACCCCUCAAUUAUGAAAUAUAUAAUUCCAGAUUAUUAACCCAAGAUACUAAUUUACUCAUAACCCGCUGUCGCGUGUAUUAUGAGUCUAUUAUUCAUAAACGGUUCACUAUAUGUCUAUGCAAACAAAUUAUGAAUAAAGCAUUAACUAACAAGUCUCGUAAAUGGAUACCUAAGGUGAUAUAUGUAUGUCUACGACACCACAUGCAAUUGACACACUCAUCCGGUGAAAACUACUCGAAGGCUCUUAUACUUACCGUCUAAUUAUCAAAAUAGCUCUGUCGAGUCAAUCCCAAUAAUCACAGAUAAAGCACAUAAAUUGAUCAAGUUCAUGCACUAACAAUCAUAACAAGUAUAAGAAAUAAUCAUAAAACCAUAAUUGCAUAAUCUCAAGAAAACGGGUUCACCAUCCCCACAUAGGGUUCCAACAAAAUCCUAGAUUAAAAACUUAGCUACUCAUGUUCUCUACGAAAAACAUCAUAAAAACAUAAAAAGAAAUAGAUUAAGAAAAUAUAUAUGAAAGAAGAAUUGUGAUGAAGAUUUGUCAAUUCUUCGUCUUCGAUUCUUCGUUCUCUCGCUCCUCUCGCUCCAAGGUUGUGUCAAAAGUCCUCUAAUUCGUGCUUGGUUUGGGCUUAAAUAGAUGUCCCAACUUGUUAGAUGAUUUUAGGUUUCCUUGUGUGAUUAAAAGUCCAAAAUUGUCUCCAGCGUGUUUUGGCGCGGCCGCGCGAAAAUCAGUGCAAUUCUCACACAGCCGCGCGAGAAUCGCUGAAACCUUCUGCCCAAGUUCUGCAGUUGGCACGGCCGUCCCAGUUUUAAGUGUAAAUCUCGGGACGGCCGUCCCAUGCUAAUUUCUNNNNNNNNNNNNNNNNNNNNNNNNNNNNNNNNNNNNNNNNNNNNNNNNNNNNNNNNNNNNNNNNNNNNNNNNNNNNNNNNNNNNNNNNNNNNNNNNNNNNNNNNNNNNNNNNNNNNNNNNNNNNNNNNNNNNNNNNNNNNNNNNNNNNNNNNNNNNNNNNNNNNNNNNNNNNNNNNNNNNNNNNNNNNNNNNNNNNNNNNNNNNNNNNNNNNNNNNNNNNNNNNNNNNNNNNNNNNNNNNNNNNNNNNNNNNNNNNNNNNNNNNNNNNNNNNNNNNNNNNNNNNNNNNNNNNNNNNNNNNNNNNNNNNNNNNNNNNNNNNNNNNNNNNNNNNNNNNNNNNNNNNNNNNNNNNNNNNNNNNNNNNNNNNNNNNNNNNNNNNNNNNNNNNNNNNNNNNNNNNNNNNNNNNNNNNNNNNNNNNNNNNNNNNNNNNNNNNNNNNNNNNNNNNNNNNNNNNNNNNNNNNNNNNNNNNNNNNNNNNNNNNNNNNNNNNNNNNNNNNNNNNNNNNNNNNNNNNNNNNNNNNNNNNNNNNNNNNNNNNNNNNNNNNNNNNNNNNNNNNNNNNNNNNNNNNNNNNNNNNNNNNNNNNNNNNNNNNNNNNNNNNNNNNNNNNNNNNNNNNNNNNNNNNNNNNNNNNNNNNNNNNNNNNNNNNNNNNNNNNNNNNNNNNNNNNNNNNNNNNNNNNNNNNNNNNNNNNNNNNNNNNNNNNNNNNNNNNNNNNNNNNNNNNNNNNNNNNNNNNNNNNNNNNNNNNNNNNNNNNNNNNNNNNNNNNNNNNNNNNNNNNNNNNNNNNNNNNNNNNNNNNNNNNNNNNNNNNNNNNNNNNNNNNNNNNNNNNNNNNNNNNNNNNNNNNNNNNNNNNNNNNNNNNNNNNNNNNNNNNNNNNNNNNNNNNNNNNNNNNNNNNNNNNNNNNNNNNNNNNNNNNNNNNNNNNNNNNNNNNNNNNNNNNNNNNNNNNNNNNNNNNNNNNNNNNNNNNNNNNNNNNNNNNNNNNNNNNNNNNNNNNNNNNNNNNNNNNNNNNNNNNNNNNNNNNNNNNNNNNNNNNNNNNNNNNNNNNNNNNNNNNNNNNNNNNNNNNNNNNNNNNNNNNNNNNNNNNNNNNNNNNNNNNNNNNNNNNNNNNNNNNNNNNNNNNNNNNNNNNNNNNNNNNNNNNNNNNNNNNNNNNNNNNNNNNNNNNNNNNNNNNNNNNNNNNNNNNNNNNNNNNNNNNNNNNNNNNNNNNNNNNNNNNNNNNNNNNNNNNNNNNNNNNNNNNNNNNNNNNNNNNNNNNNNNNNNNNNNNNNNNNNNNNNNNNNNNNNNNNNNNNNNNNNNNNNNNNNNNNNNNNNNNNNNNNNNNNNNNNNNNNNNNNNNNNNNNNNNNNNNNNNNNNNNNNNNNNNNNNNNNNNNNNNNNNNNNNNNNNNNNNNNNNNNNNNNNNNNNNNNNNNNNNNNNNNNNNNNNNNNNNNNNNNNNNNNNNNNNNNNNNNNNNNNNNNNNNNNNNNNNNNNNNNNNNNNNNNNNNNNNNNNNNNNNNNNNNNNNNNNNNNNNNNNNNNNNNNNNNNNNNNNNNNNNNNNNNNNNNNNNNNNNNNNNNNNNNNNNNNNNNNNNNNNNNNNNNNNNNNNNNNNNNNNNNNNNNNNNNNNNNNNNNNNNNNNNNNNNNNNNNNNNNNNNNNNNNNNNNNNNNNNNNNNNNNNNNNNNNNNNNNNNNNNNNNNNNNNNNNNNNNNNNNNNNNNNNNNNNNNNNNNNNNNNNNNNNNNNNNNNNNNNNNNNNNNNNNNNNNNNNNNNNNNNNNNNNNNNNNNNNNNNNNNNNNNNNNNNNNNNNNNNNNNNNNNNNNNNNNNNNNNNNNNNNNNNNNNNNNNNNNNNNNNNNNNNNNNNNNNNNNNNNNNNNNNNNNNNNNNNNNNNNNNNNNNNNNNNNNNNNNNNNNNNNNNNNNNNNNNNNNNNNNNAAUUAUCGUUAAAUCACACCAAAAGCUCAAAUAAAAAUAUACGAUAAAGUGUAAAAAUAUACACUUAACAGUAUGAUAUUAGUAUUAGUAUCAGUAUCAGUAUUAGUAUCAAUAUCAGUAUAAGUAUCAGUAUCACUAUCAGUGUUAGUAUCAUUAUCAAUAACAACAUCAGUAUGAGUAUGAGUAUGAGUAUGAGUAUCAGUAUCAGUAUCAAUAUCAGUAUUAGUAUCAAUAUAUGUAUCAAUAUAUGUAUGAGUAUUGGUAUGAAUAUUAACAUUGGUAUUAGUAUUAGUAUUAGUAUUAAUAAUAGUAUUAGUAUCAGUAUCAAUAUCAGUAUCAAUAUGUGUAUGUGUAUCAGUAUGUGUAUUAAUAUUAGUAUCAAUAUUAAUAUCCGUAGCAGUAUCGGUAUCAGUAUCAAUAUCAAUAUCAGUAUUAUUAUCAUUAUUAUUAUUAUCAUAAUUAGUAUUAUUAUUAGUAUUCGAAGUCAUAUUAGUCUUGGCGUAUUAGCAUUAACAUUAGCAUUAGUCUUAAUAUUAGUAUUAGUAUUAGUAUUAGUAUUAGUAUUAGUAUUAGUAUUAGUAUUAGUAUUAGUAUUAGUAUUAGUAUUAGUAUUAGUAUUAGUAUUAGUAUUAGUAUUAGUAUUAGUAUUAGUAUUAGUAUUAGUAUUGGUAUUAGUAUUAGUGUUCGUAUCAGUAUUGGCGUAUUAGUUUAAACAUUAAAUAUCCAUAUUAUAAUUGGCGUAUUAUUACUAAUAGUUGUGUUGAUAUUAAUAUUAGUAUUAGACUAUUAGUAUUAAUCAUCAUAUUAAUAUUAGGAUUAUUAUUAAUAUUAGUAUUAUUAGUAUUAGUAUUAGUAUUAGUAUUAGUAUUAGUAUUAGUAUUAGUAUUAGUAUUAGUAUUAUAUUAGUAUUAGUAUUAGUAUCAGUAUCAGUAUCAGUAUCAGUAUUAGUAUCAGUAUCAGUAUUAGUGUUACUAUCAGUAUCAUUAUCGGUAUUAGUAUCAUUAUCAAUAACAACACCAGUAUGAGUAUGAGUAUGAGUAUGGGUAUGAGUAUGAGUAUGAGUAUGAGUAUGAAUAUAAAUAUCAGUAUCAGUAUAUGUAUAAGUAUUCGUAUGAAUAUUAAUAUUGGUAUUAGUAUUGGUAUUAGUAUUACUAUUAGUAUUAAUAAUAGUAUUACUAUGAGUAUUAGUAUCAGUAUCGGUAUCGGUAUCAGUAUCAAUAUGUGUAUAAGUAUGUGUAUUAAUAUUAGUAUCAAUAUUAAUAUCAGUAGUAGUAUCAAUAUCAAUAUCAUUAUUAUUAUCAUUAUUAUUAUCAUUAUUUGUAUUAACUAGCAUUUUUUCCCUGUGUGAUGCACGGGAUAUUAUUUCAAGAGUAAAAAAAAUCAAUUUAAUACAUAAUAAGAAAUAUAGUACACGAAGUAAAAUUUAAUAAUGUAGUACUAUUCAUAUUUUAUAUAACAUUAGUUCGUUUAAAUUUUACAUAUUAAGAUUUAUAAUCCAAAUAUAUAGAUUUAGAUUUAACAAAUCGAAUUUCUAUCUUUAUCUCUUAAGAUUUGAGAUAUAUUGAUGAAAAAUAAGAGAUUGAUAAUUGUUGAAAAUUAGUAGCGAAAAAAUAUUAAAAAUAAAUAAUUAAAGAAAUACCAUUAGGGUUUUUUAGGGUUACCCAACGUUUCUUUCUUUUAUAUAUAAGAUAAUAGUAUUAGUAUGAGUAUUAGUAUCCGUAUCGCUAUCGGUAUCAGUAUCAAUAUAAUGUGUAUGUGUAUGUGUAUAUGUAUCAGUAUGUGUAUUAAUAUUAGUAUCAAUAUUAAUGUCAAUAGCAGUAUCAAUAUCAAUAUCAGUAUUAUUAUCAUUAUUAUUAUCAUUAUUAGUAUUCGAAUUCAUAUUUGUCUUGGCGUAUUAGCAUUAACAUUAGCAUUAGUCUUAAUAUUAGUAUUAGUAUUAGUAUGAGUAUUAAUGUUCGUAUUAGUAUUGGUGUAUUAGUUUAAACAUUAAAUAUUGGUAUUAGAAUUGGCGUAUUAUUAUUAAUAGUAGUGUUGAUUUUUAUUUUUAUUAUUUUUUUUUUUUUGAGUAAAUUCAAGUCCAUUACAAGGGGAAGUAGGGGAGGGGGGGACUCGAAGCCUAGACCUUUACCCCAUUGGUAAAUGCUAGGUACCAACUCUCCUAAUGAGGGUUGGUUAAUAGUAGUGUUGAUAUUAAUAUUAGUAUUAGACUAUCAUUAUUAAUCAUCGUAUUAAUAGUAUGAUUAGUAUUAAUAUUAGUAUUAUUAGUGUUGGUUUUAGUAUUAAUAUUAGUAUUCGUAUUAGUACUAUCAAUGUUGAUUUUAGUAUUAGCAUUAGUAGUUGUUGUUAGUGUGAUAUUACUGUCAAUAUUAGGGUGGCAUAGGCAAUUGUACGCCGCAAGGUCUAGAGUUAAAAGUAGAUUUGAGAUAAAUAUAUUUAUCAACUCAGAAUCGGGCGAUAUAACUAACUUUAUGAGCAAUGUUGUGUGUACAAAAGAUUUUCAGCGAAUAUGAAGGUAAAUCACAAACAAAUGUAUAUUUUGAUUCAAUAAAACAUUUUUUGGGUAUUAUUUACAUGUAUGUCAACUGUUCAAAGUUUUCGUUCGGUUUAUUUUAUCCAAAAUAAUUUUAAAAAAAAAAAAUUUGAUCUUGUGCAUCGCACGGAUGAAUUACUAGUUAAAUUAAAUAACUUAAUCUUCAAAUCGGCUUCUCGGUCACCCUUAUAACCUCGCGUGGAUAAUUGGUUGUGCACGUACAUGAACUUCAUUAUCACUUAUGACACUGUUACACUUCGAAUCUCUCUCUGGUCAAAACAUGAAAGUUGUAGAAAUUCCAGUUGGCUUUCCAUAGCAAUUUGAAUCACGUAAAACUGCCACAGAGUUAGGCGAGAAUCUCGGAUGCAUGGAAUUCGACUUGUCCAACGCACUCUCCUCUUCCUUUUCUUCCAAUUCCAAACCAUGAACUCUACAAUGUUCUUAUUCAAGCCUUUAUUAUGCAUGGAUGACUUGAAUAGCCUCUUUAAACUCGUACGCUUUCGCUUCUUCCAAUUCUUCAACUUGGAGCUUGACAGGAUCGUAUCAGACUUGAAAAGGCUAAAAAGUUCAGUCUCUAUGAUUCAAAGUUUCUUGAACGAUGCGGAGGGGAAGCAAAUCACCGACGAGGCUGUCGAACGUUGGUUGCAUAAGCUUGAAGGUGUGGCUUUCGAUGCCGAUAAUGUCUUGGAUGAGCUCCACUAUCAACAUCUCUCCAAGGAAAUUCAUAACCAGGACAAAAUGAAGAAGAGGAAGAAGAAGUGUCAUUUUUUCUUCCCACAUUGCAUUGCCAAUACGCAUCGCCUAAAAAUGGCACGUAAAAUCAAGGAUAUCGUUCAAAACUUGGAAGAGAUCAACAAGGAGGCGACCGACUAUGGCCUUCAAAAGGCAGUGGUAGGUGCAUAUGCUCCGCUUACUGGAUCAUCUGUAGGCCUGGAAACUGAUUCAUUCAGUAUCGAUCCGAUUUUUCUUGGAAGAGAAGGUGACGUGUCUGAAAUAGUGAAGACGAUGACUACUCUUCCAAAUGAUCAAGUACUCUCUAUCAUCCCCAUUUUCGGGAUGGGAGGACUCGGAAAAACAAUGGUAGCUCGGAACGUGCUUGAUCAUGAAGCCAUAAAGGCUCAUUUUGCUAAGCGUUUUUGGGUGCAUGUCUCUCAAAACUUCGAUGCCAAGAUUCUUUUCAAUAUGAUUCUUACAUCGUUAACAGGAACAAACGCCAGACUUGGAGAUAAACAGGCAGUUCUGGAAGAGCUUCAAAAGAAGUUGGGAUCUCAAAGAUUUCUACUUGUUCUACUACGGGAAAUGGGGUGAUUUUAUCAAUUCGUUGAGAAAAAUUAGUUCUACUACGGGAAAUGGCAUUGUUGUUACUACGGGAAGUGAAAAUGUUGCUUCACUGGUAACAACACUCCCUACUAUGCACAAGCUAAAUAACUUGUCAGAAGAUGAGUGUUGGUCCAUAAUCAAAACAAAAUCCUUUGGAGAAUGUGAUAUUCCAUCAGAAUUUGAGAGAAUUGACGUAUCUAUUGCAAAAAUAUGCCAAGGUUUGCAUUGGCGGCCAAUGUGGUUGGGAGAUUGUUGCGCGGUAAGCCAAUUGAUGAGUGGCUGUCGACUGAUGAGAAAUGGCUCUCAGAUUUAAAAGAUGAAAAUCUAGUCAUCAAGAUUUUGAAACUGAGUUUUGAUCAUUUGUCGCCACCAUCACUCAAAAAGUGCUUUGCAUAUUGUUCGAUAUUUCUUAAAGGAUACGACUUGGAAAGGGAACGCUUGGUUGAGCUUUGGAUGCAGAAGGAUUCCUUGGAGGAAAUGAUGAUAUGGAGAUUGUUGGCAACAAAUUCUUUAAUCAACUUCUAGAGAACUCCUUGUUACAAGUUGUGGGGAGAAAAUACUAUUAUGGCGGUGCCGAUAUAACAUAUUAUAACAUGCACGAUCUUGUCCAGAUGUGUUUAAAAGACUAAAAUACCCCUCACAUUUUAAUAUGCUCCGAUUUCAUCAUUUAAUUCAAUUUAAUCUCAAUUUGACCCCAAAUUUCACAAAUUAUUCAAUUUUGACCCAAAACUCAAUUUUGAGUACAAUUUCGCCCGUCGCCACCGCUCUCCAGCGUUGAAUUUUUUCCCUAUUUUUUUCCGCCGGUCAACGCCGGUCGGCGUUGACUUUUUCAAUUUUUCGUUUUCCUUUUCUUCUUUCUGUCGCCGCUGACCAAUGGUCAACGCCAAUAUUGCUUCCAUGUAGUAUACACAUUGUUUUCUUCACCAUCUUUUUGCCUUGUUUAAACAACAAUAUUAAUGUGGUUGAGAGUCAUAUUAACUAUAUUACUGUUUGACACAGAUAUUAAAAAUAUUACAAUUUAACACAAUAAUAUUGUUAUUUUACUCUCUAGCAUAGUAAUAUUAACAAAACAAAAACCACUAUUAUUGUGUAAUAGAGUAAUAUUAAUAUGUUGACCGUUCAACAAAGGCAAACAUAAUAAAAAGUCAAAAUAAUUAAUAUUGAUGUGGUGGACAGUAAUAUUACUGUCAUCCACAUUAGUAACAACAGUAAUAUUACUGUAACAGCAGUAAUAUUACUGUCAAUCACAGUAAUAUUAUUGUGUUUACAGUAAUAUUACAAUAGUAGACAAUACUAUUAUUACAUUAACCGGUCAACAAAUCAAACAAAACAAAAACCCAAAAAAAAAAAUAUUGAUGUUGUUGACAUUAAUAUUAUUGUGUUUACAGUAAUUUUACCUUUCAACGAGAGUAAUAUAAUUACGUUGGCUUGUUAACAAAUCAAAUAAAAUAAUAAGAAAAAAAAAGCCAAAAAAAUAAUAAUAUUGUUGUAGUUGACAGUAAAUGUACUGUCAAUGACAGUACGUUUAUUGUCAGCGGCAGUUUAAUGAUACUGUAAUUACGAUCAACGUUCAGCGACGGGCGUAAAAAAUCGGAUAAAAUUUCAGGAAAAAAAACACUAAAAAAAGUCAAUGUCGGAAACCGACGGCGGAAAAAGCAGACAGAAAAUAAAAAUUAAAAAAAAAAAGUAAACGUCCGAAACCGGCGGCAAAAGAAAGUUCUGAAAAGAAAAAGUCAAAAUUGAAUUUUUGUGGUCAAAAUUGAUUAAAUUGAAGUUAAAUUGAGGUUACUAUUAGGAAUUGAGUUUAAAGAGUUGAGGGUAAUUUUGUCAUAUACAUUAAUUUUACCUUUAUUUAUAACACAUAUUAAAUGGAUGUGCUUAUUGGUGAAAAUUUGAGUACUAUUUCAUUUAAGAGGGGAGGUCUAUUUAAUUUCAAUAUGUAAAAGUGUUAUUCCAAUUUUGAGAUGGAAUACAAUAUACAAUAUGAAAACUAUCUCAAAUGUCUAUUGUAUCCAAAGUGACUUUCGUUGCGGACAAAAUAUCAGUUGGUCCCGCAGCCAUCAAGUUGAUGCCAGACCUAACAUUGAAAUCAUACAGCUGUGAGUGUGGUGUACAAUAAAAUUGAUGGCCACCAGGGUACGGCGCCGGAACGGUCGAAACGGAACGGGAACGGUGCCCUUUGUUCCGGAAUCCCUAACCAAAAUGAAUUUUGCUCAGCAACGCGCGGAACACUGGGAUCACGGCGGGACGAGCGAGACAUGUCCAUAGAACAGUCUUUUCGCGGCCGGAACAGGAGUUCCGACGAUCCGCCGCCGGAAAAAAAAUUAAAAUAAAAAAAAAAGAUAAAAGAAAAGAAAAAUAAAUGUCAACUAAUUGAAGUUAACCAAUGUUGAGUCAGCUAACCGGGGCUCCGACCACGCAGGCCACUGCUGAAAAAAAUAAUAAUAAAAUAACAAUAAAUUAAAAAAAAUAAAAAUAAUAAUAAUCAAAAUAAAAUAAGAUAAAACAAAUCCUAAUUAAGAUUUGAAAGGGUAAAAAGGGUAUAAGCUAAUUAUUUGGGUUUACAGUUAAACCUCUAUAAACUAAUACAAUUGGGACAAUCAAAAUUUCAUUCAUUUAGCGAAAUAUUAACUUAUCGAUAAAUUAAUAAUUAUUAAUUUAUACAUUGAUUAAUAACUUAUUAAUUUAUGAAAUUACUUUUAUUAUUAUUUUCAAUAAAUACAUUUUAUUUUUAUUUUUUUAAGUAUAUAUUAUUCAUUGUACUAUUAGUUCAAUGCACUAUAGAGCUCGUUUCACGAACGAAAGCUCUUAAAGUUGUAAUGGUAUAGAACAAUUUAUCUUGAGUUAUGAGAAAACUAUACCGAAAGUCUAACCAUGUUAAGAAAAUUAAGUGAGGGACGAGAUUGAUGGUAAUGUGAACUUCAACCAGAAACAAGCGGACAAUGAAAUUAUAUUGUGUACUGUUAAGCCUUCAUAGAUCUAUAAAAUAUGUACUAAACCAUGUAAUUUAAGUAGUAUUUUUACGCACUAUUAAUUUAUAUAUUAUAUGGGGCUUCUUAGAACUUUCGAAUGUAUAUUAUCUUAUAAAUUUAGCGAAUUAUUAAUUUAGCAUGUUGUCCCCGAGUCAAGAUCGGGAAAUUUUAUUAUUUAAGCGAGAUUAUUAAUUUAUCGAGGUUCUACUGUAUAUCAAAUGAAACUUAGAACUAAUAAGUUUUACUCAAAAAUUUAAAAAGGCUGGAUUUAUCUCAUGUGUAUAUGGGCGUAUAUAUAUAUAUAUAUAUAUAUAUAUAUAUAUAUAUAUAUAUAUAUAUAUAUAUAUACACACAUACCGAUGUGUAAGAUGUAAUCUAUACUACUUAUAAAAGUGGGAAUAUUAGAGGAGGUUUCUUCCCCUUUUUGUGAUGACCAAAAUGCCCCUAUCAAAAUUAAAAUAAUUAAUAUUAAUUUAUAAUUAGUCAUUUAAUGUAUGUUUAUGAAAAUAAUUGAUAUUUUUAGAGUUCAAUGUAUAAAGGCAUCUGAAAAGAUGAACUCAUGUAUCUAUUAAAUGUUAGUCAUAUAAGAAAUUCAAAGAAACUCAAUGGUCUCGAUAAUUCAAUAUGAAUUUCAAUUUUGCAUAAGUUAAACCAAAGAAAGAAAGAAAUAAUCGUAACUUCCAGUUUCAAGUUCUCAUUCAUCUUUUCUUUCUCUUCUCGAUUUCUUUUUCGUCUUCUUCUUCUUCUUCUUCUUUUUUUUUUUUUUAUUUCGUUUUCAGUUCUAUGUUUAAUGGUUUGAACCCUAAAUAUUGAGAAAUUGAUAAAAUUUUCUAGAUUAAUGAAGGAAUAAAUCCUCCAUAUCAAGAUCGGAUUGAACCUCUGUUAAUAAAGUUUGUAAGUUAUUUUGCAUAUUUUUCGCACUUCUAUGUACUAAGUUAAUUUUUUUUAUUCAUUUGAAUUAAUUGACCUAAUGAAACAUGUAUGGGUUAUAUGCAUGGGGAUUAUUGAUUCACAUGGGGAUUAUUGAUUUAAAAUUAUUUCUACUCAGGUAAUUCAAAACACGUGUCAGUUUCAUAAAAUUAAUGGUCUAUGCAUGGGGAUUAUUGAUUUAACUUUUAUCUACUAAAUUUACUUGCAAUUACAUUUUAUUUUUCCGUUCAAUUCUGUAUUUAUGUAUUGGCAGGUAAGAUUCAUUGUAGUAUAGUUUGUGACUAAGAAUGUUAUACGUGAAGUUUGUAAGGACUUUCUAUUUCAAUUGGCUUCUUCUUGUCAUCUCAAAUUCACGUAUGUACAUUAUCAGUGACUCAUAACAAAAGAAAGAAAAUGUAUUGAUCAUGCAGCUGCUUUAUUUGCUUAAUCCAAAGGUGAUGUUGCAUGACUUUGGGUUUAGCCAGUGAUCCAAUCUCAUCAAAGUUGUUAGUCUUCUUCAACAAGACUAAGCUNNNNNNNNNNNNNNNNNNNNNNNNNNNNNNNNNNNNNNNNNNNNNNNNNNNNNNNNNNNNNNNNNNNNNNNNNNNNNNNNNNNNNNNNNNNNNNNNNNNNCUUCGAAGGAUUAUAACCUUAAUAAUAAUAAUAAUAAUAAUAAUAAUAAUAAUAAUAAUAAUAAUAAUAAUAAUAAUAAUAAUAAUAAUAAUAAUAAUAAUAAUAAUAAUAAUAAUAAUAAUAAUAAUAAUAAUAAUAAUAAUAAUAAUAAUAAUAAUAAUAAUAAUAAUAAUAAUAAUAAUAAUAAUAAUAAUAAUAAUAAUAAUAAUAAUAAUAAUAAUAAUAAUAAUAAUAAUAAUAAUAAUAAAAUAAUAAAAAAAUCAAGAAACGAGAAAACAUAGUCGACGACGUCUGCCACCAUUUAUUUAUUUUUUAUUUUUUGGAUUUUUUAGUAAUUAUUUAAGCUAGGAGGAGUGGUUUUUUGUAAUUUCCAGACUUAGAUCAAAUGGUGUUAAGGUCAAAGGUCUGAAAACUAACGGCAAUGGCCAUAUUGAGACAAUUUUUCAAGUAAAAUCAUAUUCAGCCAAAGUAGAAGGGGGAAAGUGGAAUUUACCCUAAGUUUUAUGCACUUGACAGAUGGUUUAAUAUUGUCUAAUGGUACACAAAUAUAACAUGGAAUUAAAAGUUAUUUCUCAUGUAAUUUAUUUAUAUAAACUUGUUUCCGUGAUUUUUAUUUUGAUGGCGAAAUUUUUAAUACCCGUUGUUUGUUUUAUCUUCUAUAUUAUUUGAAUUUUUAGUGAUUUUAUUUGUUCAUGAACUUCUUAUAUUUUUCAAUUCAUAUUUUUUUCUCUCUAAAUAUUAGGGUCCAAUGGCUAUAGAUAGUUUCCUUUUCAAUUUAGUAAGUUUUGUGUUUACUCCAAAUUAAAAAUCAUGAGUUAAGUUUUAGGCUCUGAUUGAAUCAUCAGUCUCCUUCUCCUUCCUACAGAUAAUACCUCCCACCUUAUGUAAAACACUUGUAUUCGUUGUCGUGCUCUCAUAAAAAAAAUUAAUGUUAUUAGAUAUUAAAUUCCUUUAACACAAAUCUUCGAUCUGGUUCCCGUUACUAUUCAGGUGAGUUUCUGGGAGAUAUUAUUAUAGAAAAUCUACGAGCCAUUCAAGGGGAUACUAGAGUGAAUUAUGCCAGUAUACUUUAUAUGCUUUAUCACUGUUAUUAUUGGAGAUAUUAGUGACAAAUGAUACACUUCACUAAUAGCCUAAGCUUUCGGUUGAGGUAGUCAUUCAACGUGGUAUCAGAGUCAUACCAAAUGAAAGGUCAUGAGUUCGAAUCCUACCGCCAUCCAUUUCAAAUAUUUCAAGUGCAAGACUUCAAAUGUAAUUUGCUUGAACUUUACGGGGCGAAUUGGAGAUAUUAGUAUUAAAUAAUAAUAGCUUAAGUUUUUGGUUGAGGUGGUCAUUCAACAGUUAUAUUUGGUUUUUUUUUUCCCCUUUAUAGCAAGUCGAUGUGAUCCGUCAAAACUACAAGAUAAGGAUGUUGGAUGUACAUCAUAUUUCUUAGACAUAGCAGGCAGGGGAGGUACAACCGUACAGGUGGAGUCAACAACAAAUGGAUUCUCCGAUCCAUGGUGGAGUCACAUGAUGAUAAAACUGGUAGCUGAAGGACAAAAUGAAGCCACCCAAAAUGCAUAGGCAUAAAUUUCAGCUCAAUCUUGUAUUCUCGAAUGGUUUUACUAAAUAGUUAGUUUUAGGAAGCUAAGUGAAGAAAUGGUUGUACAUGUAGUCCGUUCUUUGUUUUGAUAUUUCAUGACAUACCAAUGGCAGAAGACAAACUGUUUUAGUUUCGUUAAUAUAUUUCAUUGUUUUAUUUAGAAUUGUAGCAGGUUUUACUGUAUACAGGUCAAGAUUAUGCUCUUGAUACGCUCUUUUAGAAUGCAUUCAAAUAGACAAUCAACUCAAUGCUCUAGAAGAAAGAAGGCACAUUUUACUACCCUUGAGAUACAAGUUCACUUGAGAUAUAUCUUUCAAUCUUUGUAACAUAUCAAAGAUAUCAUUGUAUGCAAACUUAUGGAAAAUAUUUAAAGUUCUUCCAUGAAUUAUUUAUUCUUUAUAAUUAGACAUAGUUUCACUUUGUGAUAUUAUUAUGUCAUUACUUUGACAGGAUGAUGGUCUAGUACAUAGUAUGUCAAAGUCAAAAUGCCAUGAGGUAUGUUAUUAAAAUAUGCAAGUCUCUUUUUUGUUUAUGAGAACCUCUCUUCUUCUAUGUUUCGAAUUUAUCUAAAUUCUCUAACUCUUAAACGAUCGAGACCAUUAUAGAGCAACUCUAGACUCGCGUUCAUGUGGAGUGAUACUCUUUGUAAAGUUUGCACGAACCUAACCUUCUUUUUACACUACUGUGAAGCAUAUUGACCAAUUAAAUUUGUGUAGAGUAUGUUUGGAACAUAAUUUACAUUCAUGCUCAUUGCUAGCUAGAAAUUAUGUUAAUGCACAAGCUUCUGAGUUUUUUGUCUAUUUUUCUGAUGUAUGUUUCAUCGUUCAAUAAGAAAAAAAAAAUGGAAUUGGUUAAAGAGCGGGUAAUCCAUAAUAAGCAUAGCAUGUUCUAUAAGGACUAGGUGUGCCAUGAGGAACAUUACAAUUGGAUGAUGCAUUUUGGUUAUCAUGAGUACAUUUGAUGUCCCACCAGAGAGUUAUAAGAGUUGUAUUAGUUUUCAACGAUUUCACAUAGACAUCAUUAACUUCAACAACUACCAUAUUACAAUAGCAAUACUAAACAAAAUCUCGUAAUUGACUGCAAAUUUGAUCAUAAAUCUCGAAAAAUAUGUUUUCCUAGGAUUCACCUGAAUUUCAAUGUAUAUGCAAUACAAAGAAGAUAAGAGAGACAUUUUAAGUUUGAUUUGAUGUAGUUUACAUUUCUCCAAUAUUUACAGAAGUAGCAAUAUGUUUUUGGUCUAAAACCAACUGACUCAUAUUUUAUAAAAGGCAUAUUGUAUUCUAAUAUGGAUACAGAAAAUUUAUUUUCACCAUAUAAUAAUAUUACGACACGUGCAACGCACGUGCACAUUGCUAGUGGCUAAAAAAAACCCCAUGUUAAAACAAUUAGCAAUUACCCCCCCCCCCCCCCCCCCCCCCCGAUGUUGCAUUUUAUUUGGUUCACUGCAUAAUGGUGGGCUACUAUCGGGAGAUGACGGAGAAGACGCAAAAAAAUGCAAAAAAUAGUUUUUUUGGUUGAUUUUUUUCUUUGAAAAGCUCUGUUUUCGAUGGGGGCAUGUAUUUUCUUGAAUUUUCAUGGGUUGUUGAUGGGUUUUGCAGAAGAAUCAUGAGCUUGACUCUUAGCUCCAAACCGAACCGAAUUUCAUCGGAGAAAAUGUUGGAGUGGUGGGGCGAAGCGGAGGCUGAGGAUAUGGAGAGAGGUGAGGCCGGAGAGAGUGUUCGCUGGAAGGAGAGCGGCGGUCAGUUAUGUUCAGUGUAGUUUCGGAAAAUUGCAAAUCAGUCCCUGACUUAAGGAAGAAGAGGGCCUUUCUGAAACUCCAAGGGACCGAAUUGAAAAAAUAUAAACUUUAUUUGGGGCUUAUUUUUGAAAUUUAUAAUUUAAAGGGUAUUUGGGUCUUUUCACGUCAAAAAAUUGAACCCCAGUUGCAUAUUUGACGAGUGGAUCACACGACCAUCUCGUAGGGGCCUUAAUGUCAUUGACCAUGCAACACAGGGGUAUGUGCUAAUUGUUAUGACAUAUGAGCUUUUUUAGUCAUUAGAAAUUACACAGGUAGGGAUGGCAAAAAAACCCGAUCCGCUAGCUAUCUGUGGUUAUCCGCUCCAUUUCAAACUCGCUACCGAAACCAUUAGGGUUUGGUAAUGGUUUUGGUAAAAGAAAAGCAAACCGUCAUGGUUUUGGUAUGGUUCUGGUUUUAGCUCUAUGGUCACGGGUACCCGACCAUUUUAUAUAUAUAUAUAUAUAUAAUAUAUUAUUUUUUAAUUCAACAUAAUAUGAAUAAAAAAAUAAUCUGGCAAAAUCUUAAAUAAUUUAGGGAGGAUAUAAUUUUACUACUAAAUGAAUUACUCAAAUACAUCAGAAAUUUUGUACCAUUCCAGUCAAUUGUGUGUCCUAAAUUAUAAUUAUGGUUUGAGCUAUAUUAAAUGGUAAUGGUUAUGAUAUUUUUUCUGCUAAGAAGAUAAUGUUUUGAGUAUGAAAACUAUCUCAAUAGAAAAUGAUAGAUUGGUUUUGUGUGUGUAUCUCAAUAGUCAUCCAAAGUGGCUCUCGUUGCCGACAAGACACAGUUAUCACACAGCUGUGAGUGAGGGGUCAACCUUUUAAAUGUAGCAAAUUAAAAAAUAAUUCCACGAAUCAUUAAUUAAUGAAUAUUAAAUACAUAAAGAAAUUACUAUUUCACCAUUUUAAAAGAAAAAAUCAAAUUAAAUUUCACAAUAAUACUAUUUGGGAAAAAUAAAAAUAUUUAAAACACCAAUUUCCUCAAAAUGAAUAUGCACGUUAAUUAGUUGUAUGAACAUAAGAAAAAAAAAUGAAUUUUAGGAAAGAUUCCAUAUUACUAAUGGUAUGGUUAGUCACUUAACCAUGGUUGGAAAGAAGACUAUGGUUGGAAACAAGGGAAAGCAAAAGUUCUCAUUUCUCACCAUUUGCAAUUUGCUUAACAUUCUCUCUCAAUCUCUCUCUUUCUCUCUCUAAAAAAAUACACACACAUUCUCAAAGAAAACAAUGGCAGCAGAAGCUGUGCUAGGAGCUGCAGUUCAAGUUUUACUUCAAAAUCUGGUCUUAGUUUCGGAGAAGCAAAUCAUAAGUCCCAUUUGAGAUUUCAAGAAAGAUUUGAGAAAGCUAAAAGAUUAUGUCUUAAUGAUUAAGGAUUUCCUAGACGAUGCUGACAAGCAGCAAAUCACCAGAGAAGCCGUCAAACGCUGGUUGAAGAAGCUUGAAGUUGUGGCUUUCGAUGCAGAUAAUGUUUUGGAUGAGAUCAACUAUCAACUUCUCUCCAAGCAAAUUCAGACAGAAAAUAAAACGAAGACAAAGGUACGAGGCUUCAUCCUACGUCGUAUUCGCCGUAUAAAAAUGGCACGUAAAAUCAAGGAUAUCAAUCAAAACUUGGAAGAGAUCAACCUCGAGGCAAACAAAUAUGGCCUUGAAAAGACAGUGGUAGGUGAGUAUGCUCCGAUUACUCACCUAGAAACUGAUGCAUUCAAUAUCGAUCCGAUUUUUCUUGGAAGAGAAGGUGACGUGUCUGAAAUAGUGAAGGCGAUGACUACUCUUCCAAAUGAUCAAGUACUCUCUAUCCUCCCCAUUUUCGGGAUGGGAGGACUCGGAAAAACAACGGUAGCUCGGAACGUGCUUGAUCAUGAAGCCAUAAAGGCUCAUUUUGCUAAGCGUUUUUGGGUGCAUGUCUCUCAAAACUUCGAUGCCAAGAUUCUUUUCAAUAAGAUUCUUACAUCGUUAACAGGAACAAACGCCGGACUUGGCGAUAAACAGGCAGUUCUGGAAGAGCUUCAAAAGAAGUUAGGAGCUCAAAGAUUUCUACUUGUUCUCGACGAUGUUUGGAAUGGAAAUCAUGAAAUAUGGAGUGAUUUUAUCAAUUCGUUGAGAAAAAUUACUUCUGCUACGGGAAAUGGCAUCGUUGUUACUACGCGAAGUGAAAAUGUUGUUUCACUGGUGAAAACACUCCCUACUAUGCACAAGCUAAAUAACUUGUCAGAAGAUGAGUGUUGGUCCAUAAUCAAAACAAAAUCCGUUGGAGAAGGUGAUAUUCCAUCAGAAUUUCAGAGAAUUGGCAUAUCUAUUGCAAAAAGAUGCCGAGGUUUGCCAUUGGCGGCCAAAGUGGUUGGGGGAUUGUUGCGCGGUAAGUCGAUUGAUGAGUGGCUGUCGAUUGAUGAGAAAUGGCUUUCAGAUUUAAAAGAUAAAAAUCUAGUCUCCAAGAUUUUGAAACUGAGUUUUGAUCAUUUGUCGCCACCAUCACUCAAAAAGUGCUUUGCUUAUUGUUCGAUAUUUCCUAAAGGAUAUGACUUGGAAAGGGAACGCUUGGUUGAGCUUUGGAUGGCAGAAGGAUUCCUUGGAGGAAAUGAUGACAUGGAAAUUGUUGGCAACAAAUUCUUUAAUCAACUUCUAGAGAACUCCUUGUUGUUACAAGUUGUGGGGAGAAAAUACUAUUAUGGCGGUGCCGAUAUAACAUAUUAUAACAUGCACGAUCUUGUGCAUGAUCUUGCAUCUUCUAUUUUAAAUUCAAGCGACCAAGUUCGGUACAUGGGCCUGCAGUCCAGUAGUGGUGAAUCGUGUACUAGCCUAACUGAACAAGCAAGUUGUAUUCGUUCGUUAUUGUUCAAUGAUAAAAUAUGCAUGCUCGUGUUCUCGGAGUUCACAUCGUUGCAUGUUUUAAUUCUGAUGGACUAUUGUGUUAAAGAGUUGCCAAGUUCAAUCAAAGAGCUAAUGCAUUUGAGAUGUCUUGACAUUUUAGGUUCAAGGAUUAAAUGUUUGCCAGACUCUGUUGGUGAACUAUAUCACUUGCAGACAUUAAGAUCAUGUCAUACCUUAAAGAAACUGCCAAACACAUUGAAGAACUUGAUUGACUUAAGACAUCUCCACAUUCCUCGAAUUGAAUUACCUCCAGGAAUGAGAAGAUUAACUUCUCUUCGAACACUGCCGUACUUUGGAGUGGGUGAUGAAAAGGGUCGUGGAAUUAGUGAGCUCGAAUGCUUGAAGAACCUGGAAGGAAAGCUGGAGAUCUAUAAUCUUGAGAAGGUGCAUGACAAAGAAGAGGCUAAGAGAGCAGGUUUAUUACAAAAGCCAAACAUAGUCAAGUUAAAGCUUGCAUGGAAUGAAGAUAGAGAAGGUGGAAAUGGCGAUGAGAGUGUGUUGGAAGGCCUCCAACCCCACCCAAAUUUAGAGAGCUUAAAGAGUUGAGGGGAAUGUCAGAGCUGACGGAGUGGUUAGAAGCUGAAUUGCCAAGUGCAGCACCUGAAAAUGAUCAACGACUUGUUGUAUUUCCUCGUCUCGUGUACUUGCAGAUUAAAUAUUGUAGGAAAUUGAAGAGUGCUCCGAGUCACUUUCCAUGCCUUAAAGAAUUGGAGAUUGGUGAGGUGGAGAGCGAAUUACCUUUGGCAAGUAUAUGUGGGAUCAACUUAAUCUCUGUUACAAAGCUCCAAAUUGAGUUAAUUGAUGGAUUGACGUGUCUCCCAGAUUGGCUUUUCCUUAAAAAUCAAAAUCUCUCGAAGUUGGAGAUAACGGACUGUCGUAACUUAACGCAUCUAGUUCCGUGCUUGGAAGGUGGAGGAACAGCUCUUAGGAAUUUGGAGAUACGGAAAUGUCCGGAAUUGAGAGAAUUACCAGAUGAUCUACACACCCUCAGUGCUCUCGAGAAGUUGGCGAUUUACGGAUGCUCAAAACUGAAGACAAUACCAUAUCCACAUGAAACACAUAAUGAUGAUGUUGAUGAGCAAUUAUUGUUAGGCUUGAGUUGCCUUCGUCGAUUGAGUAUUGAACACUGCGAUGAGCUGACCAAUUUGCCGAUUGAGUUAUGUGUGGAGUCCUUGGAGAGUUUGACACUGAGUGGAUUAAUGAAUUUAAGGAUGAACAUGGGAACGUUGAUUGGGUAUUGUAUGCAGAAAAUGCCUCGUCUCUCUGAGUUGAUGAUUGUUGAUGUUCCAACCACUAAUAAUCCAUGGGAGAUUGUUGGUUCUUUUUCUCCUUGCAACUUAAUAGAUUUAUCAAUCAGUUGUGAUGAGUACUCAGUUUCAGUUGUUGAUGCCAUCUUGAAAGCAACAACCAAAUCUCUUUAUGGAUUAGCAUUGCACGGGACAGAGCGUAGUCGUGAACUACCGGGGCAGCUUCAACAUCUCACUGCUCUUUCUCGGCUACGGUUAUAUGAUUUUGGAGAGAUGGAAGAAUUGCCUGAUUGGGUAAUUGGGAACAAUAACAAUGACAACAACAACUUGUCCUCAUCUAUGCAUAUGUUAUCUUUAUACGGCUGCAAGAAGUUGCGAUAUCUGCCGUCUAAGGAAGCCAUGCUACGUCUCAUCACCUUAAACAUCUCGGAUUGUCCGAUGUUAGAUAUAAAAGGUGGAGAUAGCGAUUAUGGUUCUGAGUGGCCCCAGAUAUCCCAUAUCCCCAGAGUCUAUGUGGAUGGGAAUCAAAUUCCAACUCAUGCUCAGUAAAUGUAACUAUACUUAUUACUGUUUUAUUUGAUUUACCAGAUUAUAUUCUUUUUUUUUCCUUUUCUUUUUCUAUUGUAUUUAUUUUUCUUUUUGUUCCUGCAGCAUCAAAAUUUAAUUUGUUGCUUAAAUAGAAUAGGAUGCUCAAGGCACACAAAUAUAUAAAUCUAUUUCAAAUUUAUUUCGAUACAUAUUGAUUUUAUUUUUAUUUCAUAGAUUUAAUUAGACACCCCUCCCGCAAAGUUUUAAUUUAGGAUUCGGUGCCAAACCAACAUAAUAUUUCUUCUUCUUCUUUCUUGGAUUUACCACAUUUUAUUUGGUUUACAUAUUCAUUGAUCUUCUUUUUUACUAUUUUCUUUAUAAAUGUGGUCAUUUUGUUAUUUCUCAUUUUUUUGAUGAGUUAUUAAUCGAAAUUGAGCAUUUUUGUUGCAUAUUGCCCCUUCAAAUAUUAUUUUUGUUGCACGUUGCCUCCUAAAAAUGUUAUUUUUAUUGCUACGUUGCCGAAACCGAAACUCGUAGCCAUUCUAAUAUUGAUUUAGCUUUCCGCAUUAAGCAAAGAAUCCUAUCGAACACGACGUAAAUCUAAUUCAACUUAUUAUAUCUAUCAUAAUAAAUUUGAAUUUGAAAAAGAACCAAUCCACUUUAAUUUCUCUAGAUCCCGUUCGAUCAGAAAAGAAGAAAAAAACCCCAGAAAAUAGCUUGUCACAUCCAUUAUAUACGGGAAAUACGGUGUUCGUAGAAGAUAACAAACAGCGAAAUACGGUGUUCGUAGAAUAAUCCAGAAAAUUGAAUUAUUAAUAAAAAUUGUAUCAGAUGUUAAAAUACAUUAUACAUGCAUGCAUACAUUUCAUCAACAUAGCAGAUUUAAGGUAGAGAUUCACAUCUAGCAACAACUUUAAGAGGAAAUUUUCUAUGAAUAGUAAGUCCAUCACCUUCACGCAUAUCCAAAUCUUCUCCACUCGCGCCACCUGGCAAUUCAAAUUCGAAACUUAAAACAACAUUCGCAAGAACAAGCUCCACCGAAUUACGUAAAAAUCUCUCCGGAUUUUCCCACAAAAUUGGAUCUCUCUCACAAUAGCCCACACGUUUAAAACCAAUCGUGUGCCUUUCGGUUGACUCUCGAGGAAUGAGUAGUGUGUAUGUUGUGUCGAUUCCAGCAGCAAACAUGUCAUGUUAUAGAUUAUUAUUAAAAUUGUGAUCAUCUUGAUGAGAUAGAAUACUUUAAAUCGAAUCAUUUUCGAGUUUAAUUUGCAGUCUCUCGUCAUACAAAAGCAUGAAGAUUUCAAUUGAGUCUAUAAAUUGAACCUCUUAUUAUUAGUUUCUAACUACAGUUAAACCUCUAUAAAUUAACACAGAGUCCGGACUAGCAAAAUUCUAUUAAUUUAGCCAACUAUUAAAUUAUCGAGUUAAUACUUUAGUACAUUUUUGCCGACUCGGGCCGAAAGAAAUUAUUAUUUACGCGAGGUUAUUAAUUUAUCGAGGUUCUUAUGUAUAUUGCAUUUGCUACAAACACAGAAAAGAAAGAAACUAAAAAAAUAAUAUUAAAGGCAAAUUACGGCAACCCCCUUUAGCUAAGGUCAAACUACGAAAAAAUCCUUCAAGUCGGUAUAUUUAAGGGCAUUCAUUCGGUAAAAUUGUACUGCAACUUCGGUACGCCAAAAUUUCAUACCGCUUACCAUUCGGUUCGGUAAAUAACCGAAUUACCAAAAUUUUAUUCAAAAUAUUUAAAAAUUUGAUUUAAUUUUUUAUUUUCUUAAUUAAUUUUAGUUUAAAUACUAACUACAUAUAUAAAAUAUAUGGGUAACUAGCAUUAAACCGCCUAAACUUUGCCUAUUUUUGCGGAUUACCACCUCAACAAAGAAAAGAAAAAAAAACUCCGAUCCCACCCGAACUCAAUAAGUUAUGCCACAUUGCCAUUUUUCACCCAUUUUCAGGCCAAAAUAACCGGAAUUAAGGGGUGGUUGUAAUUAUGCAAACAUGAGGGAUUAUUUUCGUAAUUUGCCUUACCUUAGAGGGUGGCCGUAAUUUGCCCCAAUAAUAAAAAAUCCAAGAACACAGACAUAACAAACUACAGAGGCACCCUGUUCCACUUAAUCAAGAAUUCAAUUCAAGAACUGUAAAACGCAAUGCAAACAUUACCAAGACAAGAGCUUUGAUCGAGCUUUCUUCAAGAACAAAACCACCCUCAUCGUUCCUCCGAAUAUCGAGCAACACAUCGACAAAAUCCUUCUCGUUUCCGCGAAUUCCACCACCUUUCAAAUGCUCCUUCACAACAAAAUCCAAAAACUCAUCGAGAUCUUCCUCGACUCCCCGAACUUUACGAUUCAUCCCAUUAACAUAUUUAACCCAAACAAGCCAAGGAACGUAACUCCCCGAUUUCGAAACCACCCAACAAAACCCCUAACCUCUCCAAAACAUCCUUAAAUCAAUCACACGUUUUUCACUACACGAAUUGUCUGCUCUUCUCCAACAUAACAGAAACCUCUUCCUCCCGAACAUUCCGAAAAGACUGAACUUUUCGAAUGCUCAGAAGCUGGUUAACGCAAAUACUCUUCACGCGCCUCCAGUACUCGCCGUAUGUUGAAAAGGCGAUGUCUUCACAGUCGUAAAUACCACGCGCCACGCUUGAUUCGGGCCUGUUGGAGCAAAUUGGGUCGUGGAUUUUCAGUAUUUCUUUAGCUAAAUCAGCUGAUGAAACAUUAAAAGGGCCGUGUUUUCUUGAUAGAGAGUGGAGGGUUUUUGUGGGGGCUGAACCCUAAUUAGUGGAGGUUUCCGAUUACUGGAAGCUUCGGCGGCGACGGCUUGAUGGGUUUUUGAGAGGUGGGCCGUUUUCUUUUUAUGAUUGCGAAAAUUAUUGUGAAAACUGAAAAGGAACAAGGGGAGAAGAAGAAAUUUGGAAACAUCCAUGGGUUUUCUUGAUCGUCAAAGGUGUAGGAAAACAUUAAUUUUUAUGUCUGAAAAAUUGGUGAAUUUGGAAGGAGAAAUGGAGAUGGAAUCUUUUAAUGUUUGUGGGAAUAUUAGCUUUAACAACGUGAAGUGGGAAGUAGAAUAAUAUGUUACGGCCCGCAUGGUAUAGCAUACUGGCCAAUAGCUCAACUGGUUCCGGAUGUGCUAAGUUGGUAUAAGAAUAAUAUGUUCCAUAAAUAUCAACAAGAAAUUUGUUGAAACUCACUCACCAUAAAUGUUUAUUCGGGGAAAUUACAGUUUUCACUCUUCAAAUUUGCAUCGAUUUUACAUUUGGUCCCUCAUGUUCACAAAAAAACAUAUUUGGUCCUUCAUGUUUCAAUAAUUUAACAGUUUUGGUCCUUUCGUCAAUUUACCGUUAAUCAGUUAGUUAAGAAAAUCAUGGAACAUGCUUGAUUCGGUUAGUUUUCACGGAAAAUUGACUGAAAUGACUAAAAGUGUUGAAUUUUUAAAACAUAAGAGACCAAAUGUAUUUUUUGUAAAUAUGGGGGAUCAGAUGUGAAAUCGGUGCAAACUUGAGAAACGAAAAAAGUAUUUUUCCCAUUUUUAUUUCGUAGGCAGUGACGAAACCAUGAUUUCGUAGACAGUGGCUGUAAUUUGCCCCUCCCUCUAUAUAUGGGGUGAGAUUGUACAAUCCAACACUUUUUUUUUAGAGAAAUACAAUCCAACAUUUUUAGAUGACAUUGUUAUAACACAUUAAUUCACAUACAUAAUCCCAUCCUACAAACCAAUCAUACUUUAUUAAGAACCUAGGCCUUGGUUUAAUAAUCACACCAUUUUCUUGAAUCACAUCUCAAUUCAAAGAUAAGAUAACUAAAUCAAGAACAUUCCAACUUAGAAAUAAAAGCAUCAAUAUUUAGGUCAGAAGUACCACCCUCACUAACUGCCUCCUUAGCCAAAUCCCUCCACUUAACACAAUUCCUCUUCAUCUCUUUCCCCUUCUCCCCUUCCAUCACUUCCCUUACACAACUCUCAAUCUCCUCUCUCCUCACAAUACCAUUUUCUUCGGAAACCCUAACCCUAAUCCCCACUCCCCAAACAUCUUGCACGAGCUUAGCAUCCGUCGUUUGAUCCGUCCACUGCGGCAUCACAACCAUCGGCACACCCAAGCUCAACGCCUCGGUCGUCGAAUUCCAACCGCCGUGCGAGAAGAAGCAACCUAUGGCUUCGUUCGACAGAACUUCCAGCUGCGGGCUCCAGUGCGCGAACAGUGCCCUUUCGGACGAGGCUCGGACGAAACUUUCCGGAAGCUUCUCUUCCUUGUCGAAAACCCUAAUGACCCAAAGGAAGUCGAAAUUGGUGUUGUUCAAGCCCCAUGCAAUCUCUUCCAUUUGUGCUUUGGGGAGAUUGUCCAUGCUGCCGAAUGCUAUGUAGACGACCGAUUUUGGUGGCUUUGUGUUUAGCCAAUCGAGGAUUGUUUGCGAGGGGUCCGAUUGGAAGAGGUUUACGUCGUAUUUGUCGUCGUUUUCGAUACGGUUGUCCAAAUAGAAAGAUGGGAGUGUUGGUCCAAUUGUUAGCAUUGGACACACUUUUGUCAUUGAAUCCACAACCUGUCGUUGGAAAAGAAUUGGCAAACAUUUACGUACAUAAAAAAUAUGUAAUAAAAAAAUAGAUUGAUUUAAUUUUCUAUUUUCUAUUUUCUAUUUUUCUUGGUUGCCCCACUUUCCAUACGUUGAUAGUGAUGCAGGCACAAAUAUUUCAAAAAAGACAAAGUUGAUUGAGAUAUUCAAAUUUUUACAUCGAUAAUGAUAAGAAGAGUCGUCUACGUCUUUCACUAUAUAUAAUAAUAAUAAUAUUAUUAUUAUUAUUGCUGGGUGGAGCUUGUCACACAUGGUUAGCCUAGUAUUUUUUACGUCUCUCGUAUUGCAAGUUCUUAUACGAGGGUGUAAAGUUUGCCCAAUGCACCUAUAUAAUUAGCUGUCGGUUCCUUCAUUAAAAAAAAAAAUUGGAUAAAAGAGUCUUCUAAAAUGUCCAAUAGUAUUAGUAGUUCAUUGUUAAAUAUCCAAAACUAUAAAAUUAACAUAAACUAAUGUGGUGUUAUUUUUAUCAUUAAUCCAAACUUGUAAAUCCAACCCACUUUUUUAUACCAAUUUGACCUAAUUAAAAACACAACUCUAGUAUUUUUUUUUUGAUGUUUAAUUAGAUAAUGUAAUCGUUACAUAUUAUAUUUGCUUUUCAAAAUGAGACUAUUUUAUAUAUCAGAAUAACGGGAAAUUACAGUUUUCGUCCCUCAAGUUUGCCUCGAUUUCACAUUUGGUCCCCAUGUUCACUAAAAACGCAUUUGGUCCCUCAUAUUCCAAUAAUUUAAUACUUUUGGUCAUUUUUGUCAAUUGACCGUUAGACUGUUAGUUAAGACAGUCAUGUAACACACUUGAUUCCGUUAGUUUAACCGAAAAAUUGACCGAAAGGAAUAAAAGUGUUAAAUUUUUUAAACAUAAGGAACCAAAUGUGUUUUUUUCUGAACAUGGGGACCAAAUGUGAAAUCAGUGCAACCUUAAAGGACGAAAACUGUAUUUUUUUCCUCGUAAUAAUUCUUAAUUCAGUUAACAAUGAUCAAACCAUUCAUCAUUAAUUCAAUAUAAUUCCUUUUUUUCUCUCUCUUUAUGAAUUAAGUUUUUCUUUAUGAAACCAUUCAUCCUUUUUUUUUUUUUUAAUAAUGAAUUAAAGUUAUAAAAGCAUAAUUUUACCUUCUCCUCCAACUUGUAAAACGUGUUGACAAGCACAAAAUCAGCCUUGUCCACAUUCGAGAACUGAUUCAGCACCAUCUCGAAGUAAGCCGGGUACGAACCACUCACGUGCAUGAACGACGGCAAGUCCGGCAACUCUAGCGGCGGCAGCCCUGGAAUCUCCACCGGCGGCGGCGUCACCACCGGAAUAUCCAACAACCCACGGUGCACAUAAUAGUACACAUAGUUCACCGCACACGCCUGCGUGAAAAAGCACGCCGCCCUUAUACCAAAUCUCAUCGUCACAUCCAAAACCCAAGGCAAAAACGCAUCGUAAACUAUGCAAUCUACGGCCAAAUUUCGGUCUCGGUACGAUUUGAUGAGAUUUUCUAGGGUUCUCGAGCCCUCGACUUCCAUCCGGUUUAGGUAAUCGGAGACGCUCUCGGCUUGCUGGAAACCGCCGGCGUCGAAGCCGUCGGAGAUGGACGCGAUAUCGACGGAGUCGGAUUUAGGGUUGAUGGAUUUGGAGAUGAAGUUGGUGAUGGUGAAGGUGGCUUUGGCUCCUUUGGAGACUAAGCGUUUGCAGAAUUGGAGCAUUGGGUUUACAUGGCCUUGGCUUGGAUAAGGUACACACAAGAUAUGUACUCUAUGUUCUUUUUUCUCCUUAUCCAUUUUCAUCAUUUUUCCUUUGAAUAUGCUAUUUUUGAAUAAAUUCACACACACACAUAUAUAUACAUAUGUAGAGACAGGUGGGGUUUUUGUUUCUUUCUAUAUAGAUAGAUAUAUAUGUGGAUCAGAAAAAAUACAGUUUUCGUCGCUAAAAUACAUUUGAUCCGUCAUGUUCACAAAAAAUACAUUUGGUCUCUGAUGUUUUCAAAAUUUAACAAUUUUAGUCGUUUCUAUCAAUUUUCCGUUAGUACUAAUGGAAUGUGUGUGUCCGUCUGAUGCGAUCUCUUGAGUAUCAUAAAUAUUUCCUACGAAACGUAAGAUCUAUUCUUUAAUAUUUCUCUCUGCAUUAUAAAACCCUAGCACAAAACGACUAUUUAAAGAUAAUAAAACCCUAGAAUCCUAAUCUAACUAGGAAAGAUAAUUACCUAUACUAAUUAAAUACUUAAUAAUCCUCCUAAUCAUCCUAACCCUAAACUAACAUACGGCUAUAUCUAAUAUAAAUAUACUAUGAUAAUUAAUUAAUAAUAAAAUAAUAACUAACUAAUAAUUAAACGAUAUAUUUAAUAAUAUAUCGUAUCAAACCACCCCUCUUGAAAUGAACCUUGUCCUCAAGGUUCGAGUCAAUUUGGUCUCUCUCCUUUGCGUUUCCACCUAUGUUUGACUUUAUCGACUUGCUUCCCGAUUGACUCCGAAAAACACGAUGAACGACCGAGCUUUUUACCACAUUGUUCAUGCUGAUCCAAUGAAAUAACAAAGGCUACUUUAGCGAAAAUAUUCAAUCUUUUUCCCGACAAAUCAACCUUCUCAAUUGCCUUUUCAAAUUUCAUCUCCUUCACAAUCAAUAUCAUGCUUUUAUUUUUCUCGGUCGUCUUAACAGAUCCGGGCUCAUUCACAGUCACCAAAUCUUGUUCGUCUCCUUUCUUUUGAAUAUCGUGGGACUCUUCUAAUAUCCACUGUAGUUCUUCGUUCUCUUCCUUAGUUAAUUCCUCACCUUCGUCCCAAAUUACCUCAAGUGAAUCCGAUAAUUCAUCUUUCGGCGAACUCACAAAAAAUUGGGGUUCUUCGAAACAAUCAUCGUCGUCCUCUUCCUCUUCUUCCGGCAAUAGGCUCGGCAACGGCGGCGGCGGUGGUAGUGGCGGUGACUCUUCGAAAAAGUCAUCGUCGUCUUCUUCCUCUUCGUCCGGGAAUAGGCUCGGCAGCGGCAGCGGCGGUGGCGGUGACGGGCGGCGGUCCCUUCGGCAGCGGUCCCUUCGGCUUUUGUGAUGGCGUUGACGUCGUCCUUGACUUUGUUCGAGCAAUUUCUGAAAAUUAAUCCGUAAUUUCUCUACGGAUUUUUCCAAUCGCUCCAACCGUCUUGUUUCUGACAUCAUGAUUUUCACAAAGUUUUGAUGUGAUCUCAACUUUGCUCCAGCGUAGCUUUGAUGUAAUCGCUGCCUUGCUAACGAAGCGUUGGUGUUAAUCGCAACUUCGCUCUGAUACCAAUUGAUACAAUCUCUUGAGUAUCAUAAAUAUUUCCUACGAAACGUAAGAUCUAUUCUUUAAUAUUUCUCUCUGCAUUAUAAAACCCUAGCACAAAACGACUAUUUAAAGAUAAUAAAACCCUAGAAUCCUAAUCUAACUAGGAAAGAUAAUUACCUAUACUAAUUAAAUACUUAAUAAUCCUCCUAAUCAUCCUAACCCUAAACUAACAUACGGCUAUAUCUAAUAUAAAUAUACUAUGAUAAUUAAUUAAUAAUAAAAUAAUAACUAACUAAUAAUUAAACGAUAUAUUUAAUAAUAUAUCGUAUCACCGUCACAGCGGACUAAUGGUAAAUUGACGGGAAUGACCAAAAGUUUUAAAUUAUUCAAACAUGAGGGACCAAAUGUGUUUUUUUGUGAACAUGAGGGACCAAAUGUGGAAUUAGUGCAAACUUGAGGGGUGAAAACUGUAAUUAUCCCAAUGGAUGGAAUAGAUCUAUCUCAUGUGUUUUACGCGCUGUAGCAUUAAUAUAAACCGAGAUGACCCUGCUAAUCAUAGCACGCGCCAACCUCUUUAAUUUCCUUUUUUUUUUUUUACUUCUUUUAUUUUUUGUUGUUUUAUUUAAUUGUUUUGCAUAUAAAUAUUUUUUUAAUUAUUAAAAAGUAGCUGUUACAAAACUUAAAUCUUAAAAUGCAAUGUAUAUAGUGGCUAUUUGAGGAAACCCUUCAUUAUUUUUUUAGGGGAAAUUGGCUAGACACCCCUUAUUCUGGACUUAUAUAGGUAGGGAUCCUAGUUGCUAGAUGAAUAUAGGCAUAGGUCCUUUAUCACAAAAAAAUAAUAUAAAUAAAAUAAAACAAUUAGUAUAUAGACAUAAACACCCUCAAUUAAUAAGAAAACAAAUCUCAUACACUCUCUCUCUCCAAUCUUACGUAUCUUUCUUCCUAUAUAAUCUCUCAUAUUUCUCUUCCUCUCCAUCUCGUGUCUCUGGCUUUUUUCUUCUGAUUUUUUUUUCUUUUCGAUCAACACUUUUCGAUUUUUUUUUCCGAUCAACUUCUUUCUUUCUCUAUACCCUUUCUCGAUUACAUCUGUUCGAUUUUUUUUUCUUUGGAAUUCAAUUCUUUUGGAUUAUGUUGUAGGGAAGGAAAAAAAAUUGAAGCUUUACAUUAUUAGAUGAUUUUUCGGUGAAAGAGUUAAAAGCGGACAACAAACAUAAAUCGCUCAUUGCUUGCACAAGGUGAGUUUUUUUUUCUCGUUUUGUAUUUAUCUGUAGUGAGUUUAUAAUGUUUGUUUGUAUUUCUAACUGAUUUUGGUUCAAUAAAUAGCAAAAAACAAAAAAUUAAACUGCAAAAUCAAAUUGUUGUUACAAACUGCAAAUUGCAAUCGAUAACAGUAGAUUUUGUUGCAAACUGCAAAUUGCAAUUUUUGCAUUGAUAGAAUAUUUUUUAUAAUUUUAUUGUUAUUUUUUACAUUUUUAUGAUAUGUAUGAUAGCAAAAAACAAAAUAAUGAAACUGCAAAAUCAAAUUGUUGUUACAAACUGCAAAUUGCAAUCGAUAACAGUAGAUUUUGUUGCAAACUGCAAAUUGCAAUUUUGCAUUGAUAGAAUAUUUUUUAUAAUUUUGUUGUUAUUUUUUGCAUUUUUAUGAUAUGUAUGAUAUUUUUGUUCUGUAUUUUUAUUUUUAUUAUUUACAUUUAGAUAUUGCAUAUUAUAUUUUCAUUUUAUUUUUUGUAAUUAGAUGAUGCUGAUUUUUUUACUUGUUCGAUUGAUUGUUUGUAUUUGGUGAAUUCAUAGGUAGUUUGUUGUUUUAAAUUCAAUAAUGCAAGUUUUAAUUAUUAGUUUGCUAUUUGCAUUUUAUAGAGACAUAAGCAGGCGGUUGCGGCAGUGGCGCGACGUUCGUAGCGGUGGUGCAUUUUUUACAACCUGAGUUGUUACCGAACAACAAACAAUUUCUAAACAGCAAACGACACGAAGGAAAAUUGGUAAACAACAAAUCGAACGAAGGAAAAGGGAAUGAAGGCAAACUGCAAACGACCUUGUAAACUGCAAACGCUCAGACACCCAAAUCUAUGGAAGGCUUCAAAAUUUGUGGUGAUUUUGGUUUUGAAAAAACAGGGAAGAAUCGAUAUCAAGAGAGUUGCAGUCCUAAUUUUCGGAUUUGUUGUAUAAUAUAGGGAGAAAAAUUGGGGAUUUGAUUUUGAGGAUUUAUUUUACCAUAUAUUGAUAGGGGUAUUUUUGACAAAUUACAUAUAAUAAAAUCUGCUGGGAAUUAGAGUUUAUUAGAUGGAUUUUAACACAUAUAAUCUCUUAGAGGAGGACCUAUAGCAAAUUGCCCCUUUUUUUUUAAUGGAGAGAGGUCCAAAAUAUUUCAGUCCAUUUGAGAAAAGUCCACACCCAUUUUGAGCCAUUAUGUUUUCCAGCUUUGCCCUCGCCCGCCACAUCAUCACUGGGUCACGCGCUCAUCGAUUUUUUUUUCCUGUUUUUUUCCCGUCUUUUCUGUAUCAGUUUCCUUAAUCGACUAUGAAGCAUAGUCGAUUAAGGCACUAUGAAGCAUAGUCGAUUAGCCUUAAUCGACUAUGCUUCAUAGUCGAUUAAGGAAAUUCUUUAAUUUAAAAAAAAAAUUGUUUUUUAAUUUUUUUUCUACAUGAGGUAUAUCAAUCGCCUAUGAUGAAGCAUAGUCGAUUAAGAAUCUGUUACUAAACAUAACAAAUUACAACUGCGAAAAAAUGCAAAAACAACUAUAUUUUACAAAAAAUAAAAAAUAUUCAAACAUUAUAAAUGAUUUAUACAAUUGAAAUCAAUAAAUGAGAAAUCCAAAAAAAAAAAAAAAAAAAAAAAAACUGGAGUCGAUCAACCUUAGUCGACUACCAGAACAUAGUCGAUUAGCUUAAUCGACUUUGAAUAUGCACAUAGUCGAUUAAGGUUUCAGCCUGCGCGAAAUUCUCUACACGCACCGUCCUCCGUCCGAUCCACAAAAAAAACCCAAAAUCAGCCUCCCCAUCGUCCCCACACCAUCCAGAGCUCCUGCUAUGGCCGAACCCGUCAGAUUUUGAGCAUGUUUAGCUCCAAUUAAGAAAACUAAUUUAAUUUAAUUUAAUUUAAUCCCAAUCCUAAUUUAAUUUAAUCCCAAAAGCAACAUGCAUGAUUCCUCUUUCCCGCAGCUCCGGCACAUCCUGCUGCUCGCCGCCGCCGCAAUGCAUCCGUCUCCGGCGAUGUUUGUGCCGUCCGAUGCAGCGCUCUCCGCCAAUGCUAGCCCGCGCCGGUCGAUUUCGUCGAAGUUGCUGCCGCAGCACGACUCCGCGGUGUCGCAAACCAAAUCCGCCUCGCCGGCGCGGUUGUUCUGCCGCCGCUGCUUCUGCUGUUGCUCGUCGUGGAAUUGGGAGAGGAUUUGCUCGUCUAAGGAAGCCAUGCUACGUCUCAUCACCUUAAACAUCUCGGAUUGUCCGAUGUUAGAUAUAAAAGGUGGAGAUAGCGAUUAUGGUUCUGAGUGGCCCCAGAUAUCCCAUAUCCCCAGAGUCUAUGUGGAUGGGAAUCAAAUUCCAACUCAUGCUCAGUAAAUGUAACUAUACUUAUUACUGUUUUAUUUGAUUUACCAGAUUAUAUUCUUUUUUUUUCCUUUUCUUUUUCUAUUGUAUUUAUUUUUCUUUUUGUUCCUGCAGCAUCAAAAUUUAAUUUGUUGCUUAAAUAGAAUAGGAUGCUCAAGGCACACAAAUAUAUAAAUCUAUUUCAAAUUUAUUUCGAUACAUAUUGAUUUUAUUUUUAUUUCAUAGAUUUAAUUAGACACCCCUCCCGCAAAGUUUUAAUUUAGGAUUCGGUGCCAAACCAACAUAAUAUUUCUUCUUCUUCUUUCUUGGAUUUACCACAUUUUAUUUGGUUUACAUAUUCAUUGAUCUUCUUUUUUACUAUUUUCUUUAUAAAUGUGGUCAUUUUGUUAUUUCUCAUUUUUUUGAUGAGUUAUUAAUCGAAAUUGAGCAUUUUUGUUGCAUAUUGCCCCUUCAAAUAUUAUUUUUGUUGCACGUUGCCGAAACCGAAACUCGUAGCCAUUUUAAUAUUGAUUUAGCUUUCCGCAUUAAGCAAAGAAUCCUAUCUAACACGACGUAAGUCUAAUUCAACUCAAUAUCUAUCAUAAUAAGUUUGAAUUUGAUAAAGGAACCUAUCCACUUUCUCUUUCGAUCAGCUCAAUUUGAAAAGCGAUCGAGAAAAUAGCUUGUUACAUCCAUAAUACGGGAAAGAUUCGAUCCCAAAGUGAAAACGCUUACAGGAUAACAAACAGCGAAAUAUGGAGUUUGUAGAAUAAUCCAUAACAUGGAAUUAUUAAUAAAAAUUGGAGUUAUGCACAUAACUCCUGUGUAAUCUCGAAUUGCUAAAAAACCCAUUGUGUUCAAAAAAAUUAGCAAUAAUCCCCCUAUGUUAUAUUUUACGAAGCACACUGCCUCUUUUUUCGUUUUUUCCCAUUCACUUAGAUGAAAUGACAAAAUUACUUUGAAUUCAAAAUAAAACAAAAUAAAAAUAUUCAACCCAAAAAAUAAAAUAUUGAAUCCCUCAAAAAAAAUUUGAAAACAAAAUCCCAAAAGAAAAAAAAAAGGAAAAGAAAAAAGAGACGAUGCAUUUGCUUCAUCUUCCCCGUCAAACCAACACACCACCCACUCCCUCCCCAACCCCAACCCCAAACCCCAACCCCAAACCCGAACUCAAACAACUUUCUAUCAAAUUCCUCAAAUGGUGCAUCCACCGCCGCACACGUCGGAGAGCUACCGUCUACCAGCAAUUUAAAAGGUCCGCGGUGGCGAUGGUGGUGGAUAUGGACGUCGUGUGUGAGGUGGUUAUGGCGGCGGACGUGUUGGAGGUGGGUACGAUGUUGACCGUGACUCUCUUCCUAUGACGUUUUCCAGUGAGGAAGACACCGGAGAUGGUGUGAAGAUGGUUGCCGGCUAGAGUGACGUUUGUGGUUUGAUUUGGGAAGAUGACCUUUUUGGAAAUGGGAAGGAAUGAAUUGCAAAUUUUGAAAACUUCAUUUUGGGACAUAUAGAAUUUUGGGGUGAAUUUGUAAUUUUUAAAAUUUAUAAUUUAAAGCGUAUUUUGGUCUUUUUGGGUCAAAAAUACACUCUGAAUCGCACAAUCCGCGCGUGCGGCACAAGAUAAGCUGUUAGGGACCUUAUUGCCUUUGAUUAAUUUUUAUAGGGGGAUUCUUGCCAAAAAAAAUUAACACGAGUGCUUUUUCAGCAAUUCGAGAUUACAUAGGGGUGGGUUUUGCAAAAAACCCAUAAAAAUUGUAUCAGAUGUUAAAAUACAUUAUACAUGCAUACAUGCAGAUUUAAGGUUGAGAUUCACAACUAACAACAACUCUAAGAAGAAAUUUUCUAUGAAUGGUAAGUCCAUCUUAUUUGAUUUACAUAUUCGUUGAUCCUCUUUUUUACUAUUUUCUUUAAAAAUGUGGUCAUUUUGUAAUUUAUCAAACCAACAGAAGCAGGGAGAGAGCGCAAGUUUUUGUAAAGGAGAGACAGACCAGAUUAAAAAUGUGAGUAUAUAUACUUAUUUCUUCUUCUUCUUCUUUCUUGGAUUUACCACAUUUUAUUUGAUUUACAUAUUCAUUGAUCCUCUUUUUUACUAUUUUCUUUAAAAAUGUGGUCAUUUUGUUAUUUAUCAAUUUUUCUUAAACUUGAUGUGUACGAGUAUAUAUGUAAUGUCACCUUAUUAAUUUCAGAACAGAUUAUGCAUGUCAAACUAUGUAUAUAUAUAUAUAUCGGGUUUUUUGCAAGGACCACCUUUCUGUAAUUUCGAAUUGUUGAAAAACCCCCCGUAUUAAAAAAAUUAGCAGGAACCCCCUGAUGAAAAUUAGUCAAAGGCAAAAAAGCCCCUGACAGCAUGUCGUGUGUUGUACGCGCGGCUUGUGCAACUGAGGGUGUAUUUUUUGAUGUGAAAAGUCAAAAAUACCCUCUUAAAUUCUUUUAUAAAUAACAUAAAUCCAAUUGGGUUUAAAUGCAAAUAAUACAAACUUUUGGAUCGAAUUAUAAUUUAAAAAAAAAAUUAAGCAAACAAAAAUAAUAUAUUUUUUUAAGAAAAAGGAAAAAAAAAAAAAAAAAAAGAUCUCACUCGUCUUCUUCCCCAAAUUUCCUCCUCCCAGUGCCGGCCCUGAGGCCAUGCUGCACAAGCAAUGGCUUUGGGCCCCACUCCAUUAAGGGGCCCCCAAAUAAAAAAAAAAAAAAGUAUAUAUACAUAUAUAAAUAGUUUUGUGUUUUUAGUAAUUUAAAAUGAACUUUUUAUAAAUCAUAACAUUUAAUUUGAUUUUAGGGUAUAUUUUCAAUCCGACUCAAAUUAAUUGCACAUUUUCUGUUAAGCAUUGGGAAUGAAAAACACAAAAAGAUUAAAUUAAAUAUUUUACUAUCCAUCAUUAAAGGAAAAAAAAAGAGAGAAAUAAUUCGUCUUUUUUGUCAUAACUUAUGGUGCAACUCAAAUAAGUUUAUAAAAAAUAAUAAUAAUAAAUAUAUAAAUAAAUUUCAAUGAUAUUUAAUGUAGGUUUAUGCAUUCUUAUCCUCAUUCACUUAUGUCAUAAUAUAUUUAUUUUUGUUUGUUUUAUCAAGUUAAAUAAGUAUUAAUUAUAAAAUAAUUAUUUUUAAAAAAUACGCUUAGGGCCCCGAAAAUGUCAGGACCGGCCCUGCCUCCUCCUACAGCUGCCCCUUUCCUCCCGCCACCAGCCUCGUCCAAUCUUCUCAUCGAUGACACCCUUCGUAGCAGACGCUAUUCCCUCUUCGGCGCCCUCCGCCGUUCAUCGGUAUUGGAGUUUUUCAGCACAUGCAUCCGACUACGGGGAGUUAUUGCGGCGAGAGAUAAGGGUGGAGGCCUGUUUAAAGUUAGAUUCUAUGGGGACUAACAUUUUCCGCCCAAAUCGAUGUUCGGCGAUUUCUAAAAGCGGGGUCUGGUUCGAUGUAGAUUCGACGCGGGAAAUCAUUUUUCGGACAAAUUGAACAGUAACACUUCGAUUCUGGCGAGUUGUGAGGAAUGAUUACUGAAAAAUUAUAAAAAUCUAAGGAGAUGAAUUAUUUGGGGAGGAUUUGAGUGAAGAAUUAUUCAAAAAAAGGGAAAAAGAACAAUAACUCGUUCUUUUCUCACACUGUUUUUUUUUUUUUGUAAAGCUUUUCUUUUAAUAAGAUUUUCCUGUGUGUUGGAGAAGAUGGUUUUGGAUUUUGUUCGAAUUUCUUUUGUGUCUUUUUUUUUCUUUUCUUUUACAAUUCCAUGAUUCUUUUGUAAGGGCAAAUUAGUCAUUGUAUAAAAGUCAACAGCUAAUUUUAACGAAAGGAGCAGUGUGCUUCGUAUAAGACAACAUAGGGGGGUUUGUGCUAAUUUUUUUAACAUAGGGGUUUUUUUAGCCAUUCAAGAUUACACAGGGGGUUAUAUGCAAUUAGCUCUAUAUAUAUAUAUAUAUCAGAUGAUUAGUUUUUUUGUAAGAUUUUUUUUUUUUUUUUUGUUAUCAAAUCUCACAAUUUGUGAAUUAACGUCAAUAGGUCGCUGAAGACAUACAACACGAAUAAGGUCGAAAGCCAUCUAUUUGUUGAAGACAUACUUUUACUGCACAUUGCCCCGAUAGCCAAAUAUGGUUAUUAACCGAAAUUGAGCAUUUUUGUUGCAUAUUGCCCCUUCAAAUAUUAUUUUUGUUGCACGUGGCCGAAAUCGAAACUCGUAGCCAUUCUUAUAUUGAUUUAGUUUUUCGCAUUAAGCAAAGAAUCAUAUCUAACACGACGUAAGUCUAAUUCAACUCAAUAUCUAUCAUAAUAAAUUUGAAUUUGAUAAAGGAACCAAUCAACUUUCUCUUUCGAUCAGCUCAAUUUGAAAAGCGAGAAAAUAGCUUGUUACAUCCAUAAUACGGGAAAGAUUCGAUCGCAAAGUGAAAACGGUUACAAGAUAACAAACAGCGGAAUAUGGAGUUUGUAGAAUAAUCCAUAACAUUGAAUUAUUAAUAAAAAUUGGAGUUAACUGCACAUAACUCCUGUGUAAUCUCGAAUUGCUAAAAAACCCAUUGUGUUCAAAAAAAUUAGCAAGAAUCCCCCUUUGUUACAUUUUACGAAGCACACUGCCUCUUUUCUCGUUUUUUCCCCUUCACUUAGAUGAAAUGACAAAAUUACUCUGAAUUCAAAAUAAAACAAAAAUAUUCAACCCAAAAUAAAAUAUUGAAUCCCUCAAGAAAAAUUGAAAACAAAAUCCGAAGAAAAAAAAAGACGAUGCAGUUGCUUCAUCUUCCCCGUCGCACCAACACACAGUGUAUGUUUUUGUAAACGUGGGGACUAAAUGUGAAAUCAUUGCAAACUUGAGGGGCGAAAACUGUAUUUUUCCCAAAAAGUUAUAAUAACCUUUUGUUCAGGCAGUUAGAACCGGUGCAUAUUGUCAACUGUCAAGUGCCAAUCAGAAUCUUACGAUGACUUCAUGCCAACUAGCAACACAGUUGGCUUCUGCAUUAUUUUAAUCAUGAUUAAUAAAAAGAAAGUAUAGCAAUAAUGGAAUUACUAACCGUAUAUGGUUAGUCAAGUUACCAUGGUUUGGAAACAAGGGAAGGAUCGAAAAAAGUAUUGGAGAUAUUAAUAUUAAAUGAUACAUUUCACUAACAGCUUAAGCUUUCGGUUGAGAUGGUCAUUCAACAUGGUAUUAGAGUCAGGCCAAAUGAAAGGUCCUGAGUUCGAAUCCCACAUCCACCCGUAUACAAAUAUUUCAAGUGUAAGGCUUCAAAUGUAAUUUGCCUGCACUUGAGGGGGCGUAUUGGAGAUAUUAAUAUUAAUAUCGCCAAUAAAAAGAAUCAAAGAAGCCUUCACAGUUUCUUGAACGAUGCGGAGAAGAAGCAAGUCACCGAUGAAACUGUCAUCAUUGUUGGUGACAACGCUUCCUAUUCACCAGCUAAGUAACUUUUCCUUUUCAAUCUAUCGAAAAGAAUUGGCUCUCGGAUUUUGGAGAUGAAAAUUUAGUUUCAAUCUAUCAGAGUAAACAAGCCUUGGAUUUUAUUCUCCCCCUAUGUGAUUAUUAUUCCCCCAAUUCCUUCAAUUAUGCAAGUAAUUAACCCGGAUUAUUAACCUGAGAUGCUAAAUUAAUCAUAACCCGCUUCCGCGUGUAUUACGAUUCUAAUACUCUAGAUUCAAUUACUGUAUUUCUAUGCAAUUAAUUCUAGAACACAACAUUAAGCACAAAUCUCAAUAAUGGCUACCUAAGAGAUUAAUUAUAUUCUUAUGUUAAUACCACAAAGGCUCUUCUACCACAGUUCUAAUUAUUAACCCGAUCUUCCGAUUCAUGCGAUUAACAAUAACAUAAAAGCACAUAAGGUGAUCAAGUUCAUGCACUUAAUAAAACAAGUAGAAGAAAUAAUCCGGAAUUAAAACUUGCAUAAAAUCAUAGAAAAUGGUUCAUAAAUCCCACAUAGGGUUCAAAAUAAAAUCCUAGAAAUAAGAAAAUGAGCUACUCAUGAUUAAAGAAAAAACGCAAAUAAAAUAAAUCAUAAACGAUAAAUCUUCGCUUGGAGUCUUUGAAUUCUUCGUCUUCGUUAUUGCUUUGUUGCUCUUGAAAUUGCGUAAAAAAAGAUCCCCAUUUGUGUGCUUGGCUUGGUCUUAUAUAGGGUGAAGAACUUGGGAAAGAAGGCAGUUUCCUUGUGCAAUUAAAAUCCCUUUAUUGCGCUGCCUCGGGGUCUCGGACGGCCGUCCCACAAUUUGAACUAAAACUCGGACAGCCGUCCGAGAUUUAAAUCUUCAGAAUUUUGAUUUUUUCACUUUUGGCCCAUAUUUUCUCCAAAAUUGCAGCUUUGACCCCAUACUUUUCCAAUUCUUCAAUUUGUACCUAAAAUACAAUAAAUCAACUUUUUAAGCACCAAUUAUCGUUAAAACACACCAAAAGCUCAAAUAAAAAGGUACAAUAAAGUGUAAAAAUAUACACUUAACACACCCCCAAACUUGAACUUUUGUUUGUCCUCAAGCAAAAUCUACCAAUAAGCAAAUAACUCAACUAUUACAUCUCAUCACAUAGAUCAAUGAUCAACUUCACGUUUUCAGAACUUGUAAUUAUAAUGACAAUUCUUAGGCAUUCGCAGCUCAAAAUUCAACAGCACUUAGUCACUCACCAUUACCAAAAACCACAAUUUAUACAAUUGCUUCAAGCAUCCAAUAUUUGCAAAGUAAAGAUAGAAAGAAUUUAUACUUACAUGCAUAUAUUUGACUCCAAAUACUCACCAAAGUAUUUUACUCUACUAAUAUCGAACAUUAAGCUAUUGGGAUCAUUGAGGCUUUUUGGCUUUUAAUUGUUAGGCUCUUUGGUUCGAGGUAGGAAAUAUGGGUAUAUGUGGCUAUUAUUUUUGAAUUGAGGUGAUUACGCCAAAAUUUGAAAGAUAGGCGUCUGAAACAAUGAAUUCAUCUCUAAGGACUUUAAUAAACUCGAUUCUCAAAAGUUCAAAAGUCUCCACUUUUGCUUUUGAGGCAAUGGAUCGAGCUUUCAAAAAUAAUUUCAACAACUAGUCCUUUUUUCUCCCUUCUAGUCUCUUCUUCUUCUCUUUUUCUUUUUCUUUUUCUUUUUCUUUUUCAUUUUUUUAAUAUAUAUAUAUAUAUAGAAGAAUAUAUAUUUAUCUCUUUUCGUUUUUUUUUUCUUUUUUUUUUGUUUUCGAAGAAGAAGAAGAAGGACCUUAUAAAAUUUUUCGACCGAACUCCAAGGGGUAAUUUUUCAAGAAUCUCCACCUAUUCUACCUUACACAUUGGCUAAAAGAAAGAACAUCUUUUCUCCGAGGCUCAAAUCAAGGUUCUAAGGAUAAUUUCGAUAAAAAGGUCGGCUUGAAAGGCUCAAACGGUUCAAAGAAGGCCUGAAUCAUAUCCUAAAUCACUCACUACUCAAUACUUCGUAUCAUAAAUUUCCUAAGGUGAGUCUUAAAACCGAACAUAGCAUGAUCUAGCACAAAUUAAUUCCAAAUUUAAAAUACAAAACAUUCAACCAAAGCAAUGCACAAAGUGUGAUUCCUAACAAUUGUAACACCCCAUCUUUCCAAAACCCGAAAAUCCUAAAACCCGAGACUAAUAUUUCUAACUCGAGAACCCUUAGGUAAUAUUAUUACAUGAUAUUAAUUAUAUGCAUUACGUGAAUUUAAUUAUGUGACUUACGUGAAUAAUUACGUGCGUUAUUAUGUGGUGAUUUCAUGGUACUUAUUUUGUGAAAUUCGUAAGUAGAUAUAUAUGCGUGAAUUAUGUGAUCGUUUCCGAAAAUUUAAACUCUAGGAAUUUCGUGAAUUACGUGACUUAUGUGAAUUAUAAAUAUAGUACUAUGGUAUGAUUAUAUAUAUACAUACGUACAUACAUCCAUGCAUAUAGAUAUACACAUAUACAUACUAUUACAUGCAUUAUAUAUAUUUGAGUAUAUAUAUAUAUAAAUGACCGAAUAUGUGUGUGUGUGUAGUAUGCAAGUUGUGUUUAUUUUUAAAUAAAAUAAUUAGUAAUAAGCAUGCAUGCCUUUACACUUGGCACCCCCUAAUCAUUUCUCUAAACCCACACUCAAAGUAACCCAAAAGACACCCUUCAUCUUUCUUCUUCCAACACCUCAACCCCUUACUUGUCUUCUCCAUUUUUCUCCACCGUAGCAACAUCACCACCUCCAUUCUUCUCCUUCUUCCACCUCAUCUCUUGUUUUUCAAAGAAAAUGAAAAAUCACUUGAAAAUUCCCCUAUUUAACCACGGCCAUGGAGCAGCCUAGAUCACCACUCAUCAAACAAAUAUACAUCUCAUUUGAAAACCCACUCAAUCUUUUCCACAAUCAUAGUAGCUUGGUUGGAUUUCGGUGCUUGAUAGCCUCUCUUCCUUCGAUUGCUUUCUUUUCUUCGAUUUUAAGGUAAGAAAUUCCGAUUUCUUGCUGCAAUUAAAUGGCAUCAAUAGUAUUAAAAUGGUUUUCAAAAUUUUCUAAAAGAUUGGGAGUGAUUUCGAAAAUUUAGGGCUUUUGGGGGAAAAAUGGAAAAGAAGUGUUUCUUGUUAAAUUCUUGUUCUUGCAUGCAUCAUCUAUGUUGGUAGUGGGUAAAUACGAAUUUUAUUGGCCAAAAGCAUUAAAUAUUUCAGAUUUCAAAAAGGGGUUUUCAAGAAAAAUGAGAUUUUAACUUUUAUAGGGUUGCAUGUGUAGAUCUUCAAAAGUUUUGGGCCGAAUCUGUAAUUUUUAAGAAGUCAGUCCUAAAUGUGUUUUCAAAACUGUUUUCCAGCAUUUAUUGAACAAAAUUUUCGGAUUUAAGGAAGUGUUGCAAGAAAAAGUGAAUUUUCAACCUCUAGUGGUCUUGCAUGUGUAGAUCUAAGGAUUUUUGGGGUAAAAUAUGUAAUUUUAGGAAUUUCUGCAUAAAGUAACUUUUCAACUUCAUUUUCUGCAUCUAAUAAAGUAAAAUUUCAGAUUUGUUAGGGGUUUUCAUGAAAAAGUGGAUUUUGAACUUUUAGUGUGGUUGCAUGUGUAAAUCUUGAAACUUUUGGGUCAAAACUGCAAUUUCCGAAAAAUCUCUCAUUUCUAAAGUUUGAACCUGUUUUCCCAGCAAGUAUUAAGUGGGGAAAAGUUUUCUUUACAAAGGUUUUAAAGUAAUUAAGGUUAUAUUAGAGUUUUGAUUUUUAAAAUAAAAAGGGAAUUUUCUAGUUUUAAAUUUCAAGAAAAAAAAAAUUUACUCAAAAAAAAAAAAAAUUCAAGAAAAUUCGAAACUUUGUGAAAAUUUAAAAUAAUUCCGGAAUCUGAAAUUUGGAGUAGAUAGGAGUUCUAGGAUUUAAUUUGGGAAUUUUUGGAAUUAGUUUGCUAUUAUUUCGAAAUUAGGAUAGUUUGCAUGUCAUUUAUUAUGUUUUGUGCCUUUAUUUUCAUGUCUUUAAUUUAAUGUCUAUGAAUGAUGAGAUUUGGGGAUUUUAUACUUUUAAUUGCUGCUGGAUGUGGAUUACUUGUUGUGAGAAUUUAUUGAAAUGGAUUAUUACCUAGAAGUGGUAAUAAGUUCAUUAAAUGAAAGGUGAAAAAGGGGUGCUUGCUUUACAAGCAUGGUUUGAUAUUAAAUGGUGAUGUUUAAUGUGUUGGCUGCAUGUGUGUGUGCUGAAUGUGCAUGUGUUGUGUGCCGUGUGUGGUUGUGUGUUAUGUGUGUGAAUUUGGGGAUUUUUGCCCAAAUUAUAAAUAUGUGGUAAAUUGUGAUAUUUGUGUGAUUUUGUGGCACUUGAUUGAUAUUUGUGAUGUUAUGUGUGGGUCAUAAGCAUGAUUUCGAAAAGUUGCAUUUAAAGGUUUUUAAAUUGAAAGAUUAAUGGAAUACCUGGUAAUAAACAACUCGGAUAUAGAGGGCCGGUAUCCAACUAGGAUGAUGUGUGUUGUGGUUUGAUCCCACUUACUGAAAACGGGCUCGUAACAGGUUUAUUAUCCAGGUACAUAAAUUAAUCUUUCACGGAUCCGAUAAAACGAAAAAUGUGUUUUUUUCAUGAUUUUUACAAAAAGGGCAUUUUAGUCAUUUUGCAUAAGUACGUGAUUUUGUGUGAAUGAUGUGUUUCGUGAGUUGUGUGAUUUUGCCGAUUGUCUUGUGUUAUUGUACGGAACGUGGGUAAGAAUGGGUAUAUAAUAUUAUAUAUUAUGUAUAACGUAUUUUUCAAAGUUCGAUAUUCAUCGGAUUUCUUACUGAGUUUUAUAGCUCAUAUAGAUGUCCUUUAAUUGCAGGUAGUAGCACUAGUAGUCCAACCGGGAUGGGUCGAGUAGCGGAUCGAGGUCUUACCCGGGUUUUGUUGGAAGUCGUACGAGGACCUAUGAACGAUGCUAAAGUCUUUUGGUUAUUUUCUUUUGGUGGUGUAAUGUUAAACCUAAAUACUUUCUUUUCGUACCUUUUAAACUCGUUAUCUAUAUAGAUCGUACUUAAUAUAGUAGAUUCCGUAAUUUGCUAUUUUCAUGCCUCCAUUAGUGAUUUCCGAAUUAUUCACCAAAAUAACCUUUUUAACUCUGAUUUCUUCUCGAACCAAAACCGAUAGUAACACUGUAGCACUCGAACGAAAAACCUCCCCUCGAAACUUGUUUCCAAAUAAAACCUUUAUUCGGCUAUAGUAACCUAAAGAAAAGUUUUUCGAAAAAUGCAAAGUUUUAAUAAUUGCAUUUUUGUCCCACUUCAAAGUUUUAAAAAUUACAAAGUUAUCCUUUGCUUCCGCUAGUUUAAUGAAUAUUCCGAUAAACCGGUUCGAUUUAUCGCCCAUCUAGAAGGGGGGUGCUACAACAAUCAUUCGCUUCUAAGUUUCGUUGAAUCAAAAGCUAAACAAACAUGUAAUCCUUAUCACACAAAACAAGCAAUCUCAUCAUCAAACAUUGAUCAUCUCUCAUCAUCAUAAAUCAUCAAUGCAUUCGACUCAAGCAAUUCUUUUUUGUUUAAAGAAAACAAUAAAUUAACGAAAACGACUAAAACUAAAAAGAAAAAUCCUAAAGCAUGCAAUCUAUAACAUAUAAAGCACAUAAAAAGUGUUUUUCCAGCGCCAAACUUAAAAUUUACAUUGUCCUCAAUGUAAUUCAAACAAAGUUUAAGGAUAGAAUACACCUUGAUUAGUUCAAACGUCCUCCACGUGUUGCACCCCUCCAUCUCUUCCUCUUUGAAGCAAACACCUUUUUUUUUUUUUUUUUUUCAGGGGUGUUCCGGACGGCCGUCCCACCUUUUGGACUGUUUUUGGGAGGCCGUCCCACAAACAGUAGGUUCACAACUCGUCCUAACUUCCCCGGACGGCCGUCUGGGGUUUUGGCUUGAUUUUCGGACGGCCGUCUGGGCUUUUUGUGUCCGUUUUUCGACCUAAAAAUUCAAACAUGAUUAAAUUAUUAGAUUGCACGCUUAUAUAUAUUCUAAGAAAAUAAAAAACAACUAAAAAUAUGAAAAAUAUGAGAGAAAAAAAAACGAUAAAUGCUCGGGUUGCCUCCCGAGAAGCGCUAAAUUUAAGUCUUCAGCCAGACUUUGCUUCUUGAAAUUGGUAUGUCCAAUCCAAAGCCUUGUAGAUUGCGCAUUCAUCCAUGACCUUUGUCACUUCAAUUGCAACCGAUACAAGGAUAGGAUUGCAAUAUGUCAGGGUCCACUUUAGCUUGUAAUCUUUCUUGGUUGUAAUCAAUCGGUACGAAGCCAAGAUGGGAUCUUCAUCACCCGCUCCCUCAAAUUGGUACACAAAAACCUCAAGUCUGCGUAUAACCUCCACUUCAAACACAUUCGCCUUCUUAUCAACCUCAAUUGAUGCCUUCAAAGCCACAUCAGGAACAAUGAUAAGAUCCUCAAUUUGAAUAUUUUCACUAACCACAUCCAUCUCAUUUUUCUCUUGUUCCGAGACAUCUUUGGAGUUUAGCUCGAUUGCAUUGUCAGAUUCAUCAUCCUUAAGCGUCUUCGUACUUUCUUUUCCCCUCUCAUCGACACUAUUUUCUAGGUCUAAAGGAUUUUCCUCACUACAAGUUUCUGACAGAUUUUCUUUGUUGCAACCAUUCUCGAUAUUGUCUGAAAUAUUUUCAAGAGACCUCUUGAGCUUCAUCUCUUCCAACAUUAUUUCCAGUCUUUGGAUAGAUGCUUGAGUGGAUUUCAUAAAUUCUUCAAGGACGGAGUUCAAAUAACACUCCUGAACAGUGGGUUCUCGUGGCGUGUUGGUGUAUGUGUUCCAAUAACCGCCGUUGGUGUUAUCUAUGAAAUUAUUCGCUUUCGGUGCAUACCAACAUUGGUUAGUGUAAUGAUCUCCACCACAGAUUGAACAAAGUGACGGCAUAUCAUAGGUAUUUUGGAGGUAUUCGCCAGACGGAAGCUAUUCAUAUCCCGUUUGAGGUGCGCAAAAAUUGUAACUUGACAUGUAACCAAAGAAAAAAAAAUAUAUUAAAGAAAAUUAAAACGAAAAGCUAAAAUGAAAAAAAAAUUAAUUUGGGUGAAUCGUGAAAAUUGUUCAAAUUUAGAGCUAGAAUAAAAAUAAAUAAUUAAUAUAUUCCCCGGCAACGGCGCCAAAAACUUGUUGGCCGAAAACCUACACGCAAGUGCACGUAUCGUACAAGUAAUAUAGUGGACUAAAGUCCGAAUAUCGAACCCACAUGGAAUUUUUAAUUACUAAUCAUAGACGCUAAAUUUUAGCAAUUAUUAUCAAGCCCACCCGACUAGAGAGAGAAUUAACUAAAUUAAACUAAACUAAACUAAAGCAAAUUAAAACGACAAAGCGAGAAAGCAAAUUAAACACGAAGAUCUAUCAGAGUAAAUAAGCCUAGGAUUUUAUUCUUCCCCCUAUGUGAUUAUUAUUCCCCCAAUUCCUUCAAUUAUGCAAGUAAUUAACCUGGAUUAUUAACCUGAGAUGCUAAAUUAAUCAUAACCCACUUCUGUGUGUAUUACGAUUCUAAUACUCUAGAUUCAAUUACUGUAUUCCUACGCAAUUAAUUCUAGAACACAACCUUAAGCACAAAUCUCAAUAAUGGCUACCUAAGAGAUUAGCUAUAUUCCUAUGUUAAUACCACAAAUGCUCUUCUACCACAGUUCUAAUUAUUAACCCGAUCUUCCGAUUCAUGCGAUUAACAAUAACAUAAAAGCACAUAAGGUGAUCAAGUUCAUGCACUUAAUAAAACAAGUAGAAGAAAUAAUCCGGAAUUAAAACUUGCAUAAAAUCAUAGAAAAUGGUUCAUAAAUCCCACAUAGGGUUCAAAAUAAAAUCCUAGAAAUAAGAAAAUGAGCUACUCAUGAUUAAAGAAAAAACGCAAAUAAAAUAAAUCAUAAACCAUAAAUCUUCGCUUGGAGUCUUUGAAUUCUUCGUCUUCGUUAUUGCUUUGUUGCUCUUGAAAUUGCGUAAAAAAAGAUCCCCAAUUGUGUGCUUGGCUUGGUCUUAUAUAGGGUGAAGAACUUGGGAAAGAAGGCAGUUUCCUUGUGCAAUUAAAAUCCCUUUAUUGCGCUGCCUCGGGGUCUCGGACGGCCGUCCCACAAUUUGAACUAAAACUCGGACAGCCGUCCGAGAUUUAAAUCUUCAGAAUUUUGAUUUUUUCACUUUUGGCCCAUAUUUUCUCCAAAAUUGCAGUUUUGACCCCAUACUUUUCCAAUUCUUCAAUUUCUACCUAAAAUACAAUAAAUCAACUUUUUAAGCACCAAUUAUCGUUAAAACACACCAAAAGCUCAAAUAAAAAUGUAACACCCCACCUUUCCAAAACCUUAAAACCCGAAAUUAAUAUUCCUAACUCGAGAAUCCUUAGGUAAUAUUAUUACGUGAUAAUUUGUACAUGACUUACGUGAAUUUAAUUAUGUGAAUUAUUUAUGUGCUAUAUUUAAUUGGUAGAUUUAUUUGCUAGCAAUUUAUGUGAUUUAUGUGAAUUAGAAUAUUAUAUGCUAUAUUUGAUUAAUUAAGUGUGAUAAUACACUACUCUAGACUAUCCUAUAUAUACAAUAUAGGCAUUUACUUGAUAACAUACAUGUAUAUGCAUACAUGCAUACAUACAUAGAUUUUACAUACAUUGCUUGAUUAUAUAAUAUUAUAUUACAUAUGUAUAUGUAUAGCCGUGUGAGUGUGUAUGUUAGUCAAAAAGGUGACUAAUUAAAUUAUUAUUUAAUUACUUGCACAUGGCACAUAGUCGAGUUUUACACUCUUCCAUCUACUUCUUCUUCCACAUCACCCCCUUGCUUGUCUUCCUCUCUUCAUUCCACCGAAGACACACCACCACCUCCAUUCUUCAUCUUCUUCCACCUCACUUCCAAUUUUUAAAGAAAAUGAAAAAAAUCAUUUUAAAAGUCCUCUAUUUAAUGAUGGACUUGUAGCAGCCUAAAACACCAUCCUCCAAAGAAAUAUACAUCUCACUUAAAAUUCCACUCCAUCUCCUUCACCAUCAAAAUAAUUUGGCUAGAGCUUGGCACCAUCCUUUGAAGCAUUUUCCUUCACUUUUCUUUCGGUUAUUAAGGUAAGAAGUUUCGAUUUCUUGCUGCAAUUAAAUGGCAUCAAUAGUAUUAAAAUGGUUUUCAUAAAGUUUUAAAAGAUUGGGAAUGUUUUCGAAAAUUUAGGGCUUUUUGGGGAAAAAUGGAAAAUGGGUGUUUCUUGUUAAUUUCUUGUUCUUGCAUGCAUCAUCUAUGUUAAUAGUGGGUAGAUACAACUUUCAUUGGCCAAAAGCAUUAUAAAUUUCAGAUUUCAAAAAGGGGUUUUCAAGAAAAAUGAAAUUUGAACUUUUAUGGGGUUGCAUGUAUAGAUCUUCAAAAGUUUUGGGCCGAAUCUGUAAUUUUUGAGGAGUCAGUCCUAAAUGUGUUUUCAAAACUGUUUUUCAGCAUUUAUUAAACAAAAAUUUCGGAUUUAAGGAAGUUUGUAAGAAAAAGGUGGUUUUUUGAACUUUUGGUGGUAUUGCAUGUGUAGAUCUAGAGAUUUUGGGGUAAAAUAUGUAAUUUUCAGAACUUCUGCAUAAAGUGACUUUUCAACUUCGAUUUCUGCAUCUAAUAAAGUAAAAUUUCAGAUUGUUAGGGUUUUUUCAUGAAAAAGUGAAUUUUGAACUUUUAGUGUGGUUGCAUGUGUAAAUGUUGAAACUUUGGGGUCAAAACUGCAAUUUCUGAAAAAUCUCUAAUUUCUAAAGUUUGAAUCUGUUUUUCCAGCAAGUAUUAAAUGGGGAAAGGUUUUCUUUACAAAGGUUUUCAAAGUAAUUAAGGUUAUAUUAGAGGUUUCGAUUUUUAAAAGAAAAAGGGGAUUUUCUAGUUUUAAUUUCAAGAAAAUUCGAAACUUUGUGGAAAUUUAAAAUAAUUUCAGAAUCUGAAACUUGGGUCAGUUAGGAGUUCUAGGAUUUAAUUUGAGAAUUUUUGGAAUUAGUUUGCUAUUAUUUCGAAAUUAGGAUAGUUUGCACGUCAUUUAUCAUGUUUUUGUGCCUUUAUUUUCAUGUCUUUAAUUGAAUGUCUAUGAAUGAUGAGAUUUGGGUAUUUUAUACUUUUAAUUGCUGCCUGGAUGUGGAUUAAUUUCUGUGAGAUUUAUUGAAUGGCUUGUUACCUAGGUGUGGUAAUAAGUUUAUUAAAUGAAAGGUGAAAAGGGGUACUUGCUUUGCAAGCAUGGUUUGAAUGUUAAAUGGUGAGGUUUGAUGUGUGACUGCAUGUGUGUAUGCUGAGUAAGUGUGUGUGUAUGUGCUGAAUGUGUAUGUGUGUGUGCCGUGUGUGAAUUUGGGGAUUUUUGCCCCAAAUUAUAAAUAUGUGGUAAAUUGUGAUAUUUGUGUGAUGUUGUGGCACUUGAUUGACGUUUGUGAUGUUAUGUGUGGGUCAUAAGCAUGAUUUCGAAAAAUUGCAUUUCAUUAUUUUGAAAAUUGAAAGAUUAAUGGAAUGCUUAGUGAAUAAACGGGAUACGGUGGGCCGGUAUCCGAUUAAGAUGAAAUACAUGGUUUGAUUCCACAAUAGAACGGGCUCGAAACGCUUUAUAGUUUAUUGCUAGGCACAGAUGUUAGUGCUUAGUGAAUAAACGGGAUACGGUGGGCCGGUAUCCAACUAGGAUGAAAUACGUGGUUUUAUAAAACGGGCUCGAAACGCUUUAUAGUUUAUUGCUAGGUACAGAAAUUAAUCUUUCACGGAUCCGAUAAACGAAAAAUGAUUUUUACACGAUUUUCAUAAAACGUGCAUUUUAGUCAUUUUGCAUAAGUGUUUAUGUGUGAAUAUGUGUUUUCGUGAACCAUGUGGUUAACAGUUUGUGUUGUGUUGUUUGGAAUGUGAGUAUGGAUAACUAUAUAUAUUAUAUAUUAUAUAUAACGUAUUUUCAAAGUUUGAUAUUUCAUCGGAUUUCUUACUGAGCUUUAUAGCUCAUAUAGAUGCCUUUUAAUUGCAGGUAAUAGUGUUAGUAACCCUCCACCGGAAUGGAUCGAGUAGCGGAUCGAGGUCUUGCCCGGGAUUUUUGGAAGUUGUACGAGGACCUAUGAACGAUGCUAAAGAAUUUUGGUUUUUUGGUGAUAUAAUAGUAAAUUUAAGUAUUUCCCUUUUUGAUCUUUCGAACUCGAACCCGGUAUGGAUUGUACUUGACUUUUGUUACAAAGUAGUCCUUUUAAUAAAUUUGUUAUUAUCACGUCUCACUAGUGGUUUUCAAAAUAUUCACCAAAAUACCUUUUCAAAACUCUGAUUUCUUUUCGAACCAAAAUCGAUAGCUUGAUAGUGUAGCACUCGAACAAUAAUCCUCCUAAGAAAGUUUUUGAAAAUCACAAAAAGGUUUUUAAAUGUUCUAAAGAAGAGAUUUUUAAUAAUUUCAUUUUAGUCCCAUUCCAAAGUUUUAAAAAUUACAAAGAGAUCCUUUUGCUUCUGCUAGAAAAAUGAAUAUUCCGAUAAACUGGUUCGAUUUAUCGCCCGAUAAGAAGGGGGGUGCUACAAAAAAGGUACGAUAAAGUGUAAAAAUAUACACUUAACAACACUGAAAAAGUGUUUUGCAUACUGUUCGAUAUUUCCUAAGGGAUUUAACUUGGAAAGGGAAAAAUUCGUCGAACUUUGGAUGGCAGAGGGCUUUCUUGAAGGAACUGAUAUGGAGAUUGUGGGCAACAAUUUCCUUAAUAUUUUCUUACAAAACUCCUUGUUGUUAGAAGUUGUGGGGCGAAACGACUAUUAUGGCUAUAUAAUGUAUUAUAACAUGCACGAUCUUGUGCAUGAUCUAGCAUCGUCUAUUUUAAAUUCAAGCGAGCAAGUUCGGUACAUAGGCCUGCAAUCAUCUACUAGCGGUGAAUCGCGUGCUAUCCUAAAUGAACAAGCAAUUUCUCUUCGUUCACUAUUGUCCAAUGAUAAAAUAUGCGUUUGCAUGUUCUCGGAGUUCAAAUCGUUGCAUGUUUUAAUUCUAAUGGGCAAUUGCGUUGAAGAGUUGCCAAGUUCGAUCGGAGUGCUAAUACACUUGAGAUGUCUUGAUAUUUCAGGCAUAAGAAUUAAAUAUUUGCCGGAAUCUGUCACCGAACUUUAUCACUUGCAGACGUUAAGAGCAUGUCACGAUUUGAAGAAGCUACCGAAUACAUUGGAGCACUUAAUGAGCUUGAGACAUCUUCACGUUCCUCGAAUAGAACUGCAUCCGGGGAUGGGAAGAUUAAUUUCUCUUCGAACAAUACAGUACUUUGGAGUGAGCAAUGAAAACGGUUGUGGAAUUGACGAGCUCGGAAGCUUGAAAAAUCUCCAAGGGGAACUGCAGAUUUAUAAUCUCGAAAAGGUGUGUGGCAAAGAAAUGACUAAGAGAGCGGAUUUAUUACGAAAGCCAAACAUAGUGAAGUUAAAUCUUGAGUGGAGUAUUGAAAAUAGAAAAGGUGAAAACGGCGACGAGAGUGUGUUGGAAGGCCUCGAACCCCACCCGAAUCUAAAGGGCUUAUACAUUUGGGGAUUCGGAGGGAGACGUUUGCCACCAUGGUGUUCAACGAUGUCGGGACUUAAUAAUUUGACAAAGAUAACACUUGAAGAUUGCACGGAUUGCGAACAAGUUCCGACGCUAGGGCACUUGCCGAAUUUGAAGAAUCUUUAUCUGAUUAACCUGGAGAAUGUGAAAUCCAUAGGUUCGUCGUUCUACGGAAUCGACAAAUGCAGCACAUCCGGUACUACAAUUACCGCAUUCCCGGCACUCGAAAGGCUCGAGUUGGUAUAAAUGUGGGAGCUGACAGAGUGGUUUGAAGCAGAGCUGGUGCCAAAUACAACCGAGAAUCGACGGCCAUCUCAAAUGAUGAUGGUAUUUCCUCGCCUCGAUCGAGUAAUUGAAGAUCAACAGCUGCAGGCAAUUGACGAGUGCUCCGAGUCACUUCCAUGCCUUAAAGUCCAUGCCUUAAAGAAUUGCAGAUUUCUCACGUGGACAGUGGAGUACCUCUGGCAAGUAUAUGCAGGCGACUAGUCUCGCUUACGACACUCGAUAUUGAAGGAAUUGAGGGAUUGACGUGUCUCCCCCAUUGGUUGUUCCGUAACAAUCCAAAUCUCUCGCAGGUGUAUGUGGGCUCCCAACUUAACGCAUCUCUAAACAGAGAGCCGACGUGGGCGCCUCUUUAAUCGGAGAACAACGGAACUGUUUUGUGUGUUGUGUUUGCAGUCUUAGCUGAUGAAGCGCCACCCGAACCGAACAAAUGGCCUAACGAUACGGCCGGUGUUUGUGCCGAUGAAUUGAUGUUCGUUUUAUUGUCUUUAAUUUUUGCCUACUAAAUUUCUUGUUAUGUGUUUCGAAAAAGAUCCAACCUUCCUCUUCCAAAUCCCUAGAAUUCAAUCAGCAAAAGGCCAAAAAAUUAAGCGUGUGCGCGGGUCAUAAACUUGCGGGUUCCAGCAAAACCCACUCUCGUUACGUCAACCAACGGUUCUUGAUUUUAAGAACCAAACUUGUUGGUUUUCGACCGAUUCAUGAUAGACGGGGUCCAUGACGGGUUUAUAGUAGGACCCAAUCUUCCGAACCGGCCCAUGGCCAGGGCCGGCUCAACCACUAGGCC